CUUGGUUCUAGCAUUCACAUAAAUAAAGAGACAAACAUGUAUGAUUUAUAACUCCAAAUUAACCAACUUAAUUAAUUCAACAUGUUUAGUCCUUUAAUCUUUGUUCUUAGUACUACCUUCGUGAUCCCACGCUCCUAAACAUAUAAGCUAAUAUGUUGCACAUUCAAUCUUUGGAAGAUAUAAACAAAACAUAAAUAUAGAUAGAUUAUCUUUCCAUUAGGUUGAGCUAUAUGAUCUGACAAAUGUUUCAAAUCCUACACUCAUGAUCCUAUCAACUUUGUCUUGCUCACUAUGCUUAAGGUUAGAGAAGAACAAAUACACUUUUGGUUCUGUUGGUGUUUUCCACCAAUAGGGCCCAUGCACUUGAUCUCUGCCUUGUCUCUAUGAACAGGUACACUUCAAACAAAACAUGGAGGAGUUUUACAACUCCCAGAUUCCACCAAGUGAAGAACCGGGAUCAACGAGCACAAAACACAAUGGAGAUCGGACACUUAGUUUUCCAAAGGAAAUAUUGAAGAACCUCUAUAUCCGAGUUGGUACCUUGUACGCUCCAGCAAACUUCGUGGUGAUAGAGACUGGUACUGAGGAGAGGGCACCCAUCAUCUUAGGGAGGCCAUUCCUAAACACCAGAGCUGUCAUCUACGCUAAUGCUGCCAAGAUCAGUCUCUACAUCAAAGGGAAGAAGGAGACUUUCCUUCAAGAACAAGACUACACAAACUUCAGAGCAAUCCUAACAUGAACCAAGGAAGAGGACCAACAGGAGGAACAAGAAUAAGCAAAUGUGGACCGAGACAGCUGAGAUGGUCACUGCAGCUCAAGGAGGUCAAGAUCGUCGACUCAAAUCACCUUUCUUGAUCAAGAAGGACGACCCUGGUGAUUCAAGCAUUAAGUGCACAAUCAACAGAUACUCUUUUUAGAAGACACUCUACGACACCGGAUCUUACGUCAAUAUAAUGGCCGCAGUCACUUAUCAGCUCCUGCAUGGAACCAUGCCCCUACAACCAAGAUACAUUCAGCUUCAGACAAUUUUCAGGUCAUUGACAUGGGAGAAGACGAGUAUGAUCCAUCCACCAUCCUUGGAAGACCGUUCCUCAGCACUAUCAAAGCCAUUAUCUAUAUUGGAACCGGAGAAGUCCACAUGCACUUCCCCUCUGAGAAGGUACGCCACUACUUUAAUGAUUCUAACUAUAUAGUUGAAGAUUCUAAGCAGGUCAGGACAAGAAGAAGACAACGCAACCGCAACCAGAGGAGGCAAAUCAUCAAGGACGGAUGGGUAGACUACAAAGGAGAAGUGAUAAGGACUGAAGACAUACAGCUUGAACAGAACUGUCCUAAGGAGACCAUAGCAUCGAGUCAGGUGUGGAAAGAGAAGAUAGUUAUACACGAAGAGGAGGCGCCGCUGGAACCACCGACUACGCCACCUAGCGAAUCCCAAGACGACUGAAAACGCAAGGAAUCCCGUUCGGAGGACUUAAAAAUACCAAACGCCUUGCCAAGAGGUAAACUUGGUAGUUAUCCUUUUCCAUUCAAUAGUUUGCUUAGUUAAUCAGGUUCAUGCUAUCUUGAAAAGAAAAUAAAAAUGUUAAAAAAAUAGUAAGCCCCAUGUGAGUAUGCUCAUGGCAUAAAACCCAUAAGUACAUUCACUGUGGUGGCAUAAAAAUAAAAUAAAUAAGUUUUCAUCUUACAAUAAAAAUAUAAAAAUAAUAAGUGCAUGAUCCUGCUAAAUAAGUAAUAUUUAUUGAGGAGGCUCAACAUGAUAAAGGCUAGAUAUUUAUUCUAACACUUAACCAGUUCCACAAAGCUUUGUUAUCUAUUUGAGCUCCACAGAAUUCAAUGAUCAAAGAAGACUAGCAGACGGAGGACAUCCUAAUCACUGUCAGGGUGCUGCCAACGUUCCAAAAACACCUCCAUCACCUGCUAGCUACAUCAGAAGAAAUUACGUCAAAAUUCAGCUUGGGGGAGAGCACCCCCAUUUAUCCAGCUAAGUGUUUCUACUCGCGUUUAUACUUUACUCAAAUAAUAAAGAGAUGCAUAAUCAUAAAAACCCAAAUAAAGAUUUUGUGCUUUUAUAUAUAUCUUUGCUUAGUUUGCUAAAUAAAUAAAUAAAUAAAAUUUGCUAUGAACCCUCAUGAUAAACUCUCACAUGGAAAUGAUGAAUAGUUGCUCUGCCAUGACUAGUUCUUAAAAUUGAAAUCUCUCUCAAGUUUAGGCAUGACUGUUAUGAAGUAAGAUUUGCUCUAAACCUGAACUUGUGGGAAGAGUACUUGAUCUAAAGUCUAAGUCGUUAACGGAUAUGAUAUGGGAAGGUUGAGCUACUGUUUAUCUGUUCCUAGAGAUGCUAGAAUUCUAGAGAAUUUUAUCUUUGAAAAUCUUUAAAAUAACACAUGAUGAGUUCCUAUAUGAUCAGAGUUGAAAUUCCUACCACAGCCAUAUAUACAAGCUUGCUAGACUUUGAGCCACACAUUUACUUUUUACUGCUUAUGAGCAUUGAGUGUGGUCAAGCUGUGUAGACCCUUAGGAGCUUGUCAUGUGGUUAAAAUCAAGAUUCACUUGCACGUUCACUCAUACAUGCUACUUCUACUCCAGAAGUACCAUCCACAUAUAUCCACUCAUUUCCAUCUCCAGAUUCACCCAAAAUUAUUCUACUCCUAAUCUGGGAGAGAAUAGCCAAAAACAUUAUCUUAUCCCUGUUAUUCCCUAUGAAAUAAAUGCUCGAGUUAUCUUGGUUACUACCACUUGCUAUAUUAUUUCAGGAGAUGAGUGCUCUAAAAAAAAGAGAAAAAAAAUAUACGAGGAAAUAAAAAGGGGCAAGUGCCCGGAACCUCGAAGAAAAGAAAAAGUAAGACGAGAGGUAAAAAUGGACAAGUGUCUGACAGUAGAAUUAGGAGUACAAGAUACCCACCUGAGAGGAAAGAAAAAGAAAAUAUAGAGCAUCUCAUUCUCCCCAAAAAGCUUCAAAGUGCAAGAAAGGUAUGUAUCCCCUCAAAAGAGCAAAAGUAGAAUUAGACUUUUACCAUUAUUAUCACCAUCAUCACCAUACACCAUUCAUUCGCCACACACGCACAUCUUGAUUUGACUUAUUAACUUGUUUCUCUAGAUCCAUGGUUUGACUAUGCAAUAAAUGUCUUGUAAGUAUGUAUUAGCUGUAUCCCACCUAUGAGCUCCAGAUAUCAAAACCUUAUUAGAGUAGGGUGAGAGAGAAGGCAAUAUCACUAUGCCUCAUACCACAAAUACUACAUACUUUGAGAGAAGGCAUAUACCAUUACUGCCCUGGUAAGGAUCCAGAAAUACCACAAAAGAGAGAUUUGAGAGAGUCAUACAAGGAAUCUCUGAGUUUUAUUUGAAAAUUUGCAAAAACUCCAGAGCUAUAGCUGAUCAAGAAUAAGAGACAUGGCGCUUGACUUGACCGUUCUAUCUUUUAACUGCUCAAGACACAAGUGACGGUACAAGAUGAGUAAGUUUUAAGUCUUAAUAGUUUACUCUAACUCAGAGAUGAGAUCUUGCUUGAAUGCGUGUGUACUUUUAAGGCAUGAAACCACUGCAGAAACUCUUGAGUUCAUCCUUGCUCAGGGACGAGCAAGAGGUAAGCUUGGGGGAGUUUGUUGACGGUCCUUAAGUAUCAAAUUUAAUUAUCAAAUAAACAAAGAAAAGGAUCCAAAUGAAAUCAACAUCUAGACUUAGGGUUUUAUCUGACAGAAUUCCACGAGUUUUGGUGUUUGUCUAUUUCUGCAGGGGGUUAUCAGGAAAUAAGGAAGAAAGGCCCACAUGUCAGGAUUACAUAGAGAUAUCAACGCACCGCGCAAUUUUCUACCAUCUAGAAGACUCCAGAAGCCACGAGACCGAAGCAGAGGCGAAACGGGGCCAGGAUCUGGGCGCCCGUCCAGUUUCCUUGGGCGCCCGCCCUCCUGUUGAGCCCAAUCAGGACUCUUUCUCUCAGGAGAUCUCCACCGACCUAUUGGAUUCAGAAUAACGUAGUACCACCUCGCCUACCGACCCAAAAACGCAUAGAAGGGGAGGACUAUAUAAGGAGACCCCCCUGGCCCCUGGAGAAGACAAGAAAUUAUCAUAGAGAUUGAGGGGUGCCCUCGAAGGAAAAACCUCUUCUCUAAAUAAUAUUUCUUUUUAGGCUUAGCAACCAAUGUAAAGUAUAAAUAGAUCUUCUAGUUUCAACUAGAUUGAGAGAGAUAGAGUGGAGGUGUGGAUCGGAGGAAGGCCGGCCUGUCGGUGUCUACUCCGAGUUGUACCUACGGGAUCAAGUCUCCUAACCCGAGGCUUGCUUCUAAGAUUCUUCAGUAAUUCGACUUCUAAUGCUAGUAAGUUCUUGUUUUAUUGUUCUUUGGUUUAUGAGUUUACUUUAAUCCUCUUCCGGUUGAGUAUUAGAGUAAUCACUUGCUAGCGUAAACGUGGUGUUUAGGCUAGGGUACUCAUAGAUAUCCCCUGACUAGCUGGACCGUGGUAGUAGCGAGGAACAUGACAUUUCCGAGUUACCUUUGUAUCCCAUAUCUCGUUAGCAGGACGGGUAGGUUUAUAGGUGCGGGUCGAACAUCCUUUGUGUUGUCUAGAUUCCGUGAGCCUCCCCAAUAGAACAGUAGAUCAUCCUUACCAAGGUUAGAACGAGACUACGGUUGCAGUCUUCUCUAUACAUCACUCACAUCGAGAAACAUUCUUUGUAGCCUAAAGGGAUAGUAGCAAUAGAUUUGGUUAGUCAGAUGCACCCUUUCUCCCAGUGGUAAAAAUAUAAAUACGAUAACUCUGGAUAACCUCCCGGGUGAAAUGCUCACCGAUAUCCGUGCGCUUGCGGAUCAUUUUCUAAUUGCGUACAAAAUAUCAACAAUUAAGUGUUAGCGUAAAUAUCUAGCCUUUAUCAUGUUGAGACUCCUCAAUAAUUAUUACUCCCUGUUUUUAUAUUUUCAUUUUAUAGAGCAGAAAAGAAAUUUUUGUUUUAUUUUUAUGCCACCACAGUGAAUGUACUUAUGGGUUUUAUGCCACUCGUCUACUCACAUGGGGCUUACUGUUUUUCACAUUUUUAUUUUCUUUUUAAGAUAAUACGAAUAUAAUUAACUAAGUAAACUAUUUGAAAUAAUUGAAAGGGAAAGGAUAACUACCAAGUUUACCUCUUGGCAAGGCGUUCGGUGUUUUUAAGUCCUCCGAACGGGACUCCGUUUUCUCAAUUGUCGUGAGGUUCGUUGGGUGGCGUAGUCGGUACUUCCGGCGGUGCCUCCUCUUCAUGUAUAGUUAUCUUCAUUUUCCACACCUGACUUGGUGCUUCAAUCUCCUCUGGAUAAUUCUGUUUAAACUCUAUGUCUUCUGACCUUACAACUUCUCCUUCGUAGUCUGCCCAUCCGUCCUUGAUGAUCUGCCUCCUCUGGUUGCGGUUGCGUCGCUUUCUUACCUGCUUAGAUUCUUCAAUGAUAUAGUUAGGGUCAGUAAAAUAACGGCGUACCUUCUCUGAGGGGAAUUGCAUAUGGACUUCUCCGGUUCCAAUAUAGAAGAUUGCUUUAACGGUGCUGACGAACGGUCUUCCAAGGAUGAUGGGUGGAUCAUACUCGUCUUCUCCCAUGUCAAUAACUUGAAAGUCUGUGUAGACAAAGUGAUCAUCUAUUUUGACUGGGACAUCAGAUACUGUUCCUUUAACUUCUCGAAAUGUCUGAUCUGCCAUCUGGAGCUGAAUGUAUGUUGGUCUUAGGGGCAUGGUUCCGAACAAGAGCCGAUAGGUGACUGCGGCCAUUAUGUUGACGCCCGAUCCGGUGUCACAAGUCGUCUUGUAGAAGUUGUAUCCAUUUAUGGAGCAAUAGAUGCUUGGCAUUCCUGGGUCGUCCUUCUUGGUCAAAAACGGUGACUUGAAUUGGUGAUCUUGGCCUCCAUGAACUACAGUGACCAUCUUAGCUGACUCGGUCCACACUUGCUUGUUCCUAUUCCUCCUGUUGGUCCUCUUCCUUGAUUCACGUCUGGAUUGAUCUAGAAUUUGUGAAGUCUUGUUCUUGAAGAAAAAUGUCUCCUUCCUCCCUUUGACGUAGAAACUGAUCUUGGCAGCACUAGCGUAGAUGAUAGCUCCCAUGGUGUUUAAGAAUGGCCUCCGUAAGAUGAUGGGUGCUCUCUCAUCAUUUCCGGUCUCUACCACUACGAAGUCUGCUGGGGCAUAUAAGGUACCAACUCGGACACAAAGGUUCUUCAAUAUUCCUUUCGGAAAAGUUAUCAUCUGAUCUGCAAACUGCAAAUACAUGGUUGUUUCUAAUAAAGGAUAUGUAAAGAAUUUUUCAUAGAGUACCCUGAGUAUAAUGUUGACGCUGGAGCCAAAGUCGCAGAGUGCUUCUGGAACGUCCACCAUGCCGAUGGAGAUCGGGAUGACGGGGCGUCCUGGAUCUCCUCUCUUGACCGGCAGAAGGUCAGUAGAGAAUUCAGUGACAGGGUUACUCCAAUUGCCUGCAUCAAACAUGUCUACAAGAUUUGCAUAUUCUAGUCCUUCCGGUUGUGAUGGUAUACCGGGGUUAGUAGCAGGAACAGCAGCAGCUAUUUGAUUUAACUGGGAUUCAAUCAUUUUAUUAAAGCUAAUUUGAUUCUUGAUGGCAGUAGAGAAAUUAUCCAUUCUGUUAUUUAUAUUUUCUAGCAUUUUAUCAUUAGAUGCCAAUUUCUUAGAUAGGUUAUCCAUUAGCUUUCCUUGAUUAGACACUAACUCUCUCAAAGGUGGAAAAUUAUUAUUAUUGUUGUAAGAAUUGUUACCUUGAUAAUUACCUGAGUAGUUAGGCCUCCGUUGAUUCCAACCUUGAUUUUGUUGAGGACAGUUGUAGUAAUUGUUGUUGUUGUUGUUGUUGAUGUAGUUCACAUCCUCAAGCAUCUCAGGGCAGUGGUUGCCUGAGUGUCCAGUAUCUCCACACUCCUCACAAGUCAUGUGAGAGUCGUAGAUGUGCAUAACUUCUUUCUUAUCUCCAGCUCUAUCGUCGAGCUUCUUCAUGAGCAGGUCUAGCUUUGCAGACACCAUGUCUACCUCCUUCAGCUGAUGCAUACCUCCACCUCUCUUGCGUGUCUGGGUCCUCUCUUCAUUCCAACUUUGGUUGGACGCCAUCUUCUCCACAAGAGCUGUGGCUUGUGGUAUAGUAAGUGAUAAGAAUGCUCCUCCAGCUGCAGCAUCCAUGGUCUCUCGGGCACUGUUGCCGAGCCCGUGAUAAAAUGUCUGCAUCAAUAGCCAACUCUCCAUUCCAUGAUGGGGACAUUCUAGGAUGUAGUCUUGAAAGCGCUCCCAUGCUUCUGGAACCGAUUCAUCAUUUUGUUGCUGAAAACUUGUAAUCUUCCCACGGAGAGCAUUGGUCUUGCCCAUGGGAAAGAACUUUGCCAGGAAGUUUGUUGAGCAGAGUGCCCACGUAGUAUUCUUCUCCUUUGUAGCAUAGAACCACUGCUUCGCUCUCCCUAACAGUGAGAAUGGGAAGAGGCGAAGUAGUAUAGCAUCUUUGGAAACUCCUGAUAUGGUGAAUGUGUUGCAAAUCUCCAGGAAGUGUUGUAAAUGAGCACUAGCAUCUUUGUGUGCCUUCCCACAGAACUGGUUGGAUUGCAUCAUGUUGAUAAGUCCAGGCUUGAGCUCAAAGUUGCCAUCGAUCUCUGCAGCAGGUCCAGUGCGGAUGUUGUCCGUAGUGGGAGCUGAGAACUCGCGGAUUGAUUUGUUCGCCAUGGCCUCGAACUCUGAAGACAAGUUUCGGUGAUCUUCUUGAUUGGAUGAAGCUUCUUGCUGAAGUGUUGAUGAUCUCUUCUUGAGCUUGGCUCUCGUCUUCUUGAAUAAUGCUUCGGGAUUGUCAACAAAAUUUCCUGGAAGAUGUCUUCUAUUCAUACAUUCCCCUGCAUAAGAUGAAAUAGAAAAAUAUCGGGGUAAAACUGUAUGAGAGAAUAGAUAAGCUCAAUCAUAUUAGUGAUGCGAAUGAUAACUCAAAAUCUUUUAUUCCAUUCCUGAUUAGUAAUCAACCUUCCCCGGCAACGGCGCCAAAAAUGCUUGUUAGGUAUUCUUAACAUCAUUACCAAAAGUAGACUAAGUUCUCUAAAUCUAGUAACGGUGCCAAAAAUGCCAAACCUAUCCCUCACAUUACUUAAGCCAAGUUGUCAUCCCCAGCAUGACAUAAGAGACGCGGUAUUGAAAUAUGCAAUUGCUCUUCUAAAUAAAUAAUGAAUGGGAUCUGCAAGCGCACAUAUUAAUACCGAUGCAGCAUUUUAACCGGGAAGUAUUCCAGGUAUCGUUAUUUAUAUUUUUACCACUAGGAAGGGAUUAACAAUCAUCACUAUUGAUUACAGAAUAGAAUAUGAGAUUGAGCAUCUAUCAUUGCAUGUAUAAUUGAGAACAUUAUAUCUAACUCUUCAUACAGGGAUAAGUGUCACAUAAAAGAUAUAUGAAAUAAUGAGACAAGGAUAACUAAUCUGAUCUAGCCACAUAUAAAUAUGAUAAGCACCACAAUUAGAUACUCUAGAAAGUCAUUAGCAUGGUAUUAGAACGAACUACAAGAAUAUUUCCCAAGUUAUUCUCAACUAUAUAGUUUAGCAUAUCAUAGUUAGUGCAAGCAUACUUAGCAAUCAUUGCGAGACAAGACUACGCCCAUGCAUAGUGAUAUUAGCAAGGUAAAUGAGAAACAUAGCAAUCACUCCCCUCUAAUAAUAUUGCUCUGCCAGCCCAAUACACGAGAGGGGGACUAUAUAAGAAUCAAUGAAGCUGUCACUAUCACGAACCACCCCACGAUCUGGCAUAUUGGGUACAAUCGCAGAUAAAUACGGUAUAAGCACCACGCCUACACAAUAUCUAUCAUUUACCCAUGGAUCCGAUGGAUAAACGCUAUACGAUCCUAAGCAUGUAUAUAGAUCCAAUCUAACUAAGCCAAGUACAUAACUAUGAUAAACUAAGAACAAUAUAAUCUUGAAUAUAAGCAAGUAGAGCAAAGUCAUAAGCAAUAUAUUGAAGUAGAACAAAGUCAUAUUCAUAAUAUUGAAGAACAAAGAUAAUUAGAAAGCAAUUAGAGGCACAAUUAGAGAAUUACCAAGAAUCCUCUUGACAGAUCCGGAAACCAAUCGAAGAUUGACUCCUUCUAGCUCUAAUCCUAUGUAGCUAUGCUAAUCUAGAUAUCUAAUUGAUGUGGUGGCUCUAAUCUUGAUCAGAGGCUUCUUCUCCCUUUAGAAUAAUGAAUUAGGGUUGAGAGGCUCUCUCCUCCAGGGGCCAGGGGGUCUGGUUUUAUAGUCCCUUCAAGUGAAUAUGGGCCGUUGGAUCAAACCGACAUAGAUUGUAUGGUUUAGAUUCAUCCUUUAGGUCGGUGGAGAUCUUCCACGAAGCAGAGUCCUGAUUGGACUCAGGGAGGGGGCGGGUGCCUAGGGCAGGAGGGCGGGCGCCCUGCCUCUAGCCCCGUUUCGCCUCCGCUUCGGUCUGGUGGCUUCUGGAGUCUUCUAGAUGUAAGAUAAUUGCGCGGCACGUUAAUAUCUCUAUGCAAUCCCGACGUGUGGGCCUUUCUUCCGUAUUUCCUGAUAACCCCCUGCAAAAAUAGACAAACACCAAAACUCGUGGAAUUCUGUCAGAUAAAACCCUAAGUCUAGGUGUUGAUUUCAUUUGGAUCCUUUUCUUUAUUUAUUUGAUAAUUAAAUUUGAUACUUAAGGACCGUCAACAAACAUCAAGUUGCCUACUGUUAGAGAUUGCCCUGAGUGCAAUGGUUAUGAUCGGUAUGACAGAUCCGAUCGGCGCUAUCACGAUGAUGAUCGGCGAUUUAAUGGGUCGAUUAGGGGGAGAGCGUCAGUUCAUGAUCGGCUGGGGGCAGACUCAGUGUACACGACAGACUUGGUGAUUGCGUUGAAUAUUUUCCUAGGAAUCAGGAAGAGCUUGAAGAGAUGGCCAAUGCUCGAGUUCCCGAUGAAUUCAUAUUUUGUAGAGACGCUAAUACUUAUCGGAUGGAGUCAAGGGAAAGUCGUCGCACAUUGGCAAGACAGUCACCGCUUCCCCAAUGGUGUCCAGUGGGGUUGACCAAGACAUAGAAAAGGAGACUGCAGCGUGAAAGAUGAGAAGAGCUAAGUAGGGGUGAGAACUCUGGCCAGUCCGGGGAUCAGCAACAUCCGGAUCCUAAGGGGAAAGGGCCAUCGGCAGAUGUUAACAUGGUAUUUAUGUUGCCGAUGGAGUUCCUUGCGCCAUCCAGUGAUGAUGAGGAGUUGGAGUUUUCCGACCAGAUAGCUCAGUUGGCUCUGGAUCCGAUGACAGCUAUCUUUGAAAAGCCUACCGACAAUGAAAGGCUGCAUCUUAAAGCCCUGUUUGUCAAAGGAAGAGUUGGUGGUCAGCCAAUGACCAAGAUAUUAAUUGAUGUUGGAGCUGCUAUCAACAUCAUGCCGUAUGCAGUCUAUCGGAAGCUUGGAAAAGGAGAUCAAGAUUUGACCAAGACCGAUAUGAUGCUGAAAUACUUUGAAGGGAAUGUGUCUCCAGUUAGGGGGCAAUAUGCGUUGAGUUGACCAUCGGCAGCAAAACCUUGCCGACGACCUUCUUUGUGAUCAGUGGGAAAGGUGUCUACAAUCUACUGUUAGGGAGAGAUUGGAUUCAUGCCAAUUGUUGCAUCCCAUCUACAAUGCAACAGUGCUUGGUUCAGUGGGUAGGUGACAAGAUUGAGAUUGUCCUGGGAGAUUCUUCCUAUGUCAUCGCAUCGGCAGAGGCAGCUACCUAUGAGAGGACUAGAUGUCUCUCGGGAGAGAUUUGGGAGAAGGAUUUCCUCAAAGUUGCCGAUUAUGAAAUUCCACCGAUCCAAGAAGUCGGUUCUGAUGAGGAGUUUUAAUGGAUAGAUUCGCCGAUGAUGGAAAACUAGGCUAGGGGUUCACAUCGGCCGAUGAUUUGGUAGAGGUAGAUGUAGGUAGUGGUGAUAAAUCUAGACCUACUUUUAUUAGGGCUAAGUUAAAUUCUGAGUGUAAGCAGUAGUUAACCGAUUUGUUAAAGGAAUAUAAAGAUUGCUUUGCUUGGGAUUAUACUGAGAUGCCUGGUUUGGACCGAUCGAUUGUUGAACAUCGGUUACCCAUCAAGUCUGGAUUUCGGCCACACCAACAGCCAGCUCGCCGAUGUAAUCCUAAUAUUCUUCCUGAUAUUAAGGCUGAAAUAACCAAACUUAUUGAAGCUAAAUUUAUUCAGCAGUGUUGGUAUGCCGAGUGGAUUUCCAAUGUUGUUCUAGUCUACAAGAAAAAUGGGAAGCUUCAGGUUUGCAUUGAUUUCACGAAUCUUAAUAAAGCUACACCGAUGGAUGGUUACCCAAUGCCGGUUGCCGAUCUGCUAGAUAUUCCAAAGACUGCAUUUAGAUGUCAUGGUCAUGUUGGGUUGUUUGAAUGGAUAGUCAUGACCUUUGGCUUGAAAAAUGCUGGUGCUACGUAUCAGAGGGCUAUGAAUUUUAUCUUUCAUGAGUUCAUCGGCAAGCUGGUGGAAAUUUAUAUUGAUGAUGUGGUGGUUAAGUCUGAGGAUUUCACAGAACAUCUUGCCGAUUUGCGAAAGGUGUUGGAAUGUACACGGAAGCAUGGUUUGAAGAUGAACCCUAAUAAGUGUGCAUUUGGUGUAUCGGCAGGACAAUUCCUUGGUUUCAUGGUGCAUCAAAGGGGGAUUGAAAUUAGUAGGAGAUCCAUUGAUGCUAUCAACAAAAUAGUUGCUCCUACCAACAAAACUGAGCUCCAGUCCUUGAUCGGCAAUUUAAAUUUUAUCAGGAGGUUUAUAUCUAACUUGUCUGGUAAAAAUUCGUGCUUUCAGUCCUUUACUUAAAUUGAAAGCCGAUCAAGAGUUCAUCUGGGGGAGAGAGCAACAGUUGGCUCUAGAUGAAAUCAAGAAUUAUCUAGUGAAUCCUCCAGUUUUGAUUCCACCUCAGCAAGGAAAGCCCUUCAGAUUAUAUUUAUCUACCGAUGGUAUGGUCAUCGGUUCGGCUUUAAUUCAAGAAUUUGAGGGGAAGGAACGUGUGAUUUAUUAUUUAAGCAGGAGAUUGAUUGAUGCUAAGACUAGGUAUUCGGCCAUUGAAAAGUUAUGUUUAUGCCUAUAUUUUUCAUGUAUUAAGUUGAGGCAUUAUUUACUAUCGGCCGAAUGCACUGUUAUAUGCAAAGAUGAUGUGGUCCGGUAUAUGCUAUCUAUGCCGAUCAUGAGUGGCAGGAUUGGUAAAUGGAUUUUGGCACUAUCGGAAUUCGAUCUGCGUUACGAAUCGGCUAAAGCGGUUAAAGGAUAGAUUAUGGCCGAUUUUGUAACUCAACAUUGCGAUGCAGUGGAAACUUUGGAAAUUGUGCCUUGGACGCUCUUCGUUGAUGGAUCCACGUGUGACCGGGGGACAGGAAUCGGCAUAGUGUUAAUUUCCCCUAAGGAAGUAUGAAUUCUCCUUGCCGAUUGUUGACACAUCGACAAAUAAUCAAGCUGAGUAUCAAGCCUUAAUUAAGGGGUUGGAGUUGUUCAAAGAGGUUCAUGCUGAUGCUGUUGAAAUCUUCAGGGAUUCUAUGCUGGUUAUAAAUCAAUUAGCUAGAAGUUAUGAAUGCCGAAGUGAGGUCUUAAUAACGUAUUACGGAAGGAGUAUGCAACUGUUAAAAGAACUCAAGGACUUCCAAUUAGAGCAUGGUCCUCGAUUGCAUAAUGAAGAGGCCAAUCGGUUGGCUCAGCAUGCCUCGGGAUAUCAGCCCAUAUUAAACACAAUAUCGGCAAUCGGUGCCGAUGAUCGGAGAAAAGGAAUCGUUGAUUAUUUGAAGGACCCAUCCAAGAAAGUUGAGAGACGUGUUCGGUUUCAAGCCACCAAGUAUGUGCUCCUCGAAGAUGAAUUAUAUUAUCGAACAAUUGAUGGAAUUCUUCUCAAAUGCUUAGGUGAUGAUGAGGCUAAAAGUUUAAUGGGAGAAAUCCAUGAAGGAGUAUGUCGAGCACAUCAGUCGGCUUUUAAGAUGAAAUGGAUGAUUAGGAGGAAUGGGUAUUAUUAGCCAACCAUACUUGAAGAUUGCUUUAAAUAUUUCAAGGGGUGUCAAGGAUGUCAGAAGUUUGGCAAUAUUCAAAGGGCACCCGCAUCGGCCAUGAAUCCCAUUAUUAAACCUUGGUCGUUCCGGGGAUGGGCUAUUGAUCUAAUCGGCCAAAUUUACCCACCAUCAAGCAAAGGACAUAAAUUCAUCUUGGUUGCCACCGAUUAUUUCACCAAGUGGGUUGAAGCUAUUCCUUUGAAGAAAGUCACAUCGGCCAAUAUGAUUGAUUUUGUGAAAGAGCAUAUUAUUUACCGAUUUGGAAUUCCUCAAACAAUUACUACCAAUCAAGGUACUAUGUUCACGUCAGGGUAGUUUGAUGAGUUUGCAAUCGGUAUGGGAAUUAAAGUAUUAAAUUCUUCUCCUUAUUAUGCUCAAGCUAAUGGGCAGGCCGAGGCAUCUAACAAAGGAAUUAUCAAACUUAUUAAACGGAAGAUUGAAGAAAAUCCUAGGAGGUGGCAUACGUUGUUAAAUGAAGCUUUGUGGUCAUACCGGAUGGCUUGUCAUGGGUCGACCAAGGUUUCACCAUAUCAAUUGGUGUACGGGCAUGAUGCUGUGCUACCCUGGGAAAUUAAAACUGGAUCUAGGCGGCUAUCUUUUCAAGACCAAUUGACUGCCGAUGACUAUGCUACUUUGAUAAAAGACGAGUUGGAUGAUUUAGCAGGGCAUCGGCUAAGGACUUUGAUAAGUAUAGAAGAAAAUAAUAAAAGAGUUGCCAGAUGGUAUGAUAAGAAAGUAAAGGCUAAGGAGUUUGCCGAUGGAGACUUAGUAUGGAAACUAAUCUUACCGAUUGGGACUAAAAGUUCAAAAUUUGGGAAGUGGUCUCCCAAUUGGGAGGGUCCUUAUCGGAUAAAUCGAUCUGCUCCUGGCAAUGCUUAUAUUUUAGAAACUCUCGAAGGAGUUGAAUUUCCCAGGGCAUUGAAUGGCAAAUAUCUAAAGAAAUAUUAUCCUAGCAUAUGGGUUGAUGCAUAAAAGUUUAGAGUGCCGAUAACAUUCCUAUCGGCUGGAUCAAAGUGUAUCUGGGGCCAAACUCAAUGUUUUAAAAGGUGCUGAUAACAGUCCUAUCGGCUAGACCAAAAUAUCAAGAGUGUUUAAAAGAAAAGAGCAGAGUAUGCCGUCGAUGAAGAGUUCACAUGUUUAACAGAGCCUGGAUCGUCGAUAUGGCGCGCAGACGGAUCUGGUUGGCUUCUUCUAUCUCCUUCAUGUCAUCAUCGGCAGAGCCCUCCACUGGCUUCAGUUUCUUCUUCAUCUGCAGUGCUUUGCGGGCUUGGACGUUUCGCUCUUGUUCAAGGAUCUUGAUCACCUCAGGUAGCUGGCUUUCUUCCUGUUGAGCUUGGGACAAAGCUUCUUCUACUUGUUUGAGUUCUGCCAACAGGGCUUCUCUCUUUGCCGAUAGAUCAAAGAUCUUUUGCUUCAGCACGUCUCCUGAGGAUUUCAAGAUGCCGAUGCUCUUGUGCUUUUCAUCGGCAAGGAGCUUCACUUUUAUCAUCUCUUCUGAGAGCUGGGCGUGAGUAGCUCUAUCGGCAAGGCGCUGAGCGGCCUUUUGAUACUGAAGCUGCCGAGUCUCUAAGUGAGCAGCCUUGAAGAGGAUCUCCUCGGCAUCGGUAGGAAUUUGGCCUCUGAGAGCCUUGAACAAGGCCUUGGCCGAAUCGGAGUCGUCGACCAAUUGGGCCGUGUCUUGAUGAAGGAGGGCCGACAAUUCUUCUAACUUCGUUCUGAUCUCUGCCGAUGAGAUUCCAAUAGUUCGAGAAGAACUUGCUUCCUCGCCUUCAUCCUCAGAGAUGUCCAUGGCAAAGGAGAACAAGCUGUCGCGAGAGUCCUAUUCCUGAAAAGGGAGACAAAAUAAGUUAUUCUAUGAUCAAGUACUGAUAACAAUAAAAAUAGAGAUUGGGUAACUUACUUGUUUCAGGGCUAUUUCUCGCCUCUGACUAGGUGACGCCGAUGGAAUCACAGGCUGAUCGGCUGGGAUUGCCGAUGAAACUAUGUCAGCUGAAAGAUUAACAGAAGUGAUUAAUAAAGUGGAAAAAUAGGUUCAUCGGCAAUAAAUGGAAAGUAUGUUACCUUGAGGGGGUGCAGUACUUGUCUGAACCGAGGAGACUACCGAUGCUAUGAUUAGGCUUGCUGGAUCGGCGGUCUGCUCGUGUACAUCAGCCGAUGUUUCUUCUGGCUGAGGUUCCUCUGGCUAGAGUUCUUCCGCUUGGGGUUCUUCUUGUGGCUGAGGAGGAGAUGGUAUCUGCUGUGUCUGGGCUUCUAGAGAAGAAGGGGAUGAUUCUACUGGGAUCGGAGACCUUGGGGGACGUGGAGGCAUUGCUGUUCUCUGGCGCUUCGCUUGUGAUCUGGUGCUCUUGGAACCUUUCCUCUUCGGUUGACUGGACUGGCGGGCAUCGGCAGUUGUACUUCUGGUCUUUACCGAUGUACCGGCGUGCUGAUACAGCAAUGAAAAUUUAUGAGUACAAGUGUAAUAGGUAUAAGAAUGGAAUCGGUAUGAGUAAAAAAUUUACCUUGAAGGCUUGUGCUAAGGUAGAGGCAGCUAACGAUGGGGAUAUCUUCGUCCGCUUGGUGGUAAAUUUCUUAAGGCGCACGCCCCGAUGCAUUAUAGCAACCAAGGUUGGGGCGUUGUUGCCGAUCAAAGAGAUCGGGCCCGAUGGAAGGAGCUCAAUCGGCUUACCACUCCUGCUGUCUAAUGGGGGUGUGUCAUCGACCUGUAUAUGACAAGAAAAGUAAGAUACCGAUGGAAAUUGAAAGUGAAAGGAUUGAACCAUUGGUUUAGAGUACUUACAGUAUUAUCAGGGACUCUGUACUUGGGGUAGAUCAUACCACGGUAUGUGAGAGUCGAUCUACAGAACAGGUGUUCUUUCCAUUCUUCCCACCACUGUUUGUAUGGUUGAGUGAUGAAGAGAGCCGGGAUCCAAGCCGAUAGAUGGACAUCUGUAUCGGCGUUUGGUGGAAGUUGGGCUACCCUGAUCCAUUCCAAAUUGUUGGUGAUGAUCUCCCUUGGCUUUAUCACAUCGGCGUAGCAGAGUGCAAUCGGCAGUUGGCCGAAAGCCAGUUGGCGAGCUAGUGCCAAUGGGUUAUAAAACUCAUAGGUCAGAUUGGAGGCUUUCCCACUACCAAAGAAGUUCACUGGUAUGGCUCUAGGGGUGAUAAUUGCUGUCAUUACAUCAUGGUCCUUGUUGAGAGCAUCGUUGAAGGGGUGGAAAGUCAAGAGAAAUCUGGUAUCUGGGUCUUCAUAAGGCAUCCAUGCCCGUUGUUCUCUGGUCAGACCCUCAUACAGAGUUUGGAAGAAUCGGCUAACCUGGUCUGCGUUACCACCUGUGCUAGGCAAAACUAUGGCAGCUUUGCCAAAGUUCAGAGGGGAACGAGUUGCUGAUUCUUCUUCAUCCAGUUCAUAUCCUCAGCUAUAUCCCUGGGGAAGCGCUGUGCAAAGAGGUCGAACUCAAGGCGCUUGUGCAUGUGAAGACUAAGCCACAUAUUGAUGAACCACCAGGGGCCCCCUAAGUUACCGAUGGGUUGACCAAGCAGUAGUUUCUGGGCUACCUGGUGAAGGAGGUGAUAAGCAGAGCCAAGUAGGUUUCGGCCGAGAGGAAAUCGACCACCAUUGGCUAAUCUUUCUGCUGCCGAUAAGUAAACAGAAGUUGGUCCUACCGAUUGGCCACAUAAUACAAAUUUAUCCAGCCACAUGUUCAGAAAAGUGGUCUGUUCCUUUGCAUUGACAGGACCUGUUCUUUGGUACUUCUGAAUGUACCCUGACCAACCGCCGAUGGCACAAGUUUCCACCUUAGCACUGGGUUUGGUGUUGAACAGGUGGGUGGUAUCGGCAGUGGAUAUAUCUAAGCCGGUGAGCAUAAGUACAUCGGCAAGUGUAAGGGAAGCAGGGCCAUGGCCAAACAUGAAAGCAUUGAGUGUGUCUGACCAAAAGUAUGAGGCAGCUAUCAGUAGUGACUCAUUUCUCUCCAUAUCGGCAAGAGACAAUCUAAUGCACUGAUCUAAUUUCUGUUCACCCCAUUGGACCUCAUUUGAGUUACUGACUCUCAGGAACCAAUCCUUCCAUCCCUUGGUAGGACUGGGCCAGGAACGGAAGGCAUCUUUCCAUAGAUCUAGAGAAAAAUUCUCGGCUCUAAAGGGGAUUAUGUUUGUUUCUGCGUUUAUGAGAUCGGUGGGAUCUAAAUUUCCUAGUGAACCAAGGCAUUGGAGAUGGGGUUGAUCGGUAGGGAUCACGAUCUUGUCGGCCAAAUCCUAAAGAUUUUAAGGAUAAAAGUAAAAAGAAAAAAAGGGGAAUGUUCAGUAAAAGGAAUUGUGGAUGGACAAAAGUACAACAAGAGUACGAAAAAGAAGGGGGGUAAGCUAACCUCAGGGACGGCGAAGUUGAUGGCCAUUGCCCCAUGAGGAAGAAGAUCGAAAACUUGGGGAUUGUUGGAGGAAUUGCUUGCUGGAGUUCUUGGAGUUCUCGAACAAGUGCCGCCGCCAGGAAAGCAGAGUUUGGGCUGUAGAAUGAUGCGAUGGAGAAGGAGUACCCGAGAAGGAAGUAUUUAUAGGAUAAAACGGGGAAGGGCAAAUUUGAUUUAUCUCUUCGCCGCAUCCGUGAAAUCUGAGGGUACUCAGGUGGAUAUGGUAACUGUUCGCACGGUAAUCAAGGGAUUGCGCAGGUGAUUUGACACGAAGCGGUCAUGAUUUUGGAGAUAUUUCACUGUACAAGAUCUCCUGGACGGUCCAUCAGCAGUUCCUUCUAACGGUAAUAUUGCCGAUGGGCGCAUAAAGUGGAGAGAUUCGGUUCAGAAGGUUGAGGAAUUCGAGGAAUAUGCAAGAAAAUCGGGCUGAAGUUGUUCGGAUUUUGACAAACGGUUACUAAAUUGGGAGAAUUAAUUGCGGAAAGGCAUCAUUACUGCAGAGAAUUUUGGAGCAUUAAUGAUUUUAUACUCCGAAAUUGGGGGGCAUGUGUUGACACCGUUUUUGGACACAUACCCAAGGAUCGGUAAAGUAUAGAUCGGCAGAUGGAGCAAUGGUAACUAGUCUGCAGAGAAGUUGCCGAUGAGGGUGAUUGCCGAUAAGGAGACAGUUGAAUAUAACCAAGUCCAGAAGAGGUGACGUGUUUGUGCCGAUGAUCAGUAUUGGUGUUUGCCGAUGGCCAUAACAGAAAGUUUGCCGAUGCUUCUGAAGGAAAGCAUGGAGAUUGCCGAUUGAUCUGUGGCGGUGUCCCGGUCGGUUACAAGGGGGUAGUUUUAUGUUUUCCUUAGUUAUUUAAAUUCAUUUUGUAUACGGAUUCUGUUUGAUUUGGAAUUCGAGUCCUAGUCAUGUCUGAUUAUAGCUCUUUGAGCAGGGUAUAAAUGUAGACCCUAGGGCCUUGUAAUGAGAUAUCUAUCAAUCAAUCGAACACAAGUUUUUACUCAUAUUUUAGCAUCUACUUUUUCGAUGACUUCGUCAUAUUUUCCUUUUUACUACGAGUUCUUAGGAAUUCGUCGACUUAAGCUGGGCGUAUUCUCGAGUUCCGCGUGAAUACCUCUUGGCCGUGACAUCCGAGCGCAUCGCUGUUGUCGGGACCAAAGUAUUCGAGUUAUCACCUUUGCCGGUAGUAAGAUCAAAUCGGCUGGCACGCCUUAACGAUUGAAUCGGGUAUUAGCCCUUUGUGUUUGCAGAUCCGCUUUUGCACCAACAGAUACUUUUGGAUAUAUCCUGACCAACCGCCGAUGUUACGGGUGUCUACUCUGUGCUUGGGUUUUCGGUUGAAAAUACUACCAUCAUCGGUAGCUGAGAUGUCUCGGCCUGUAAGCAUGAGCACAUCGGCAAGUGUGGGGGAAGCCAGGCCAUGACCAAACAUAAAAGCGUUGAAGGUAUCUGACCAAAAGUAUGAGGCUGCUAUCAUUAUCGAUUCAUUUUUCUCCAUAUCGGCAAUGGAGAGUUUGAUGCAUUGGUUUAGUUUGUGUUCUACCCAGUAUACCUCGUUGUCCCCACUAACUCUCAGAAACCAGUCCUUCCAUCCCUUAGUGGUUUUUGGCAAGGAUCAGAAAGUGUCUUUCCAUAGAUCUAGAGAAAAGUUUUCGGCUUUGGAAGGGAUCCUGUUGGUUUCUGCAUUUAUUAUAUCGGUUGGAUCCGGAUUGCCCAUUGGACCCAAGCACUGGAUAUGAGGUUGUUUGGUGGGAAUGACUAUUUUGUUGCUCAGGCCCUAAGUUUGGGGAAUAAAAAAGAUAGAAAAAAGGAAGAAAAAUACUAAAUAUAUGAACUUACAAAAGUAAAGAGAGCUACGAUAAGGAAAAAGAGGAUAGAAAUGGGAUUAACCUCGGGUACAUUGAAGUUGAUGGCCAUUUCUUUAGGGUGAGAUGAGGAUGAGAAUAGGGACUUGAAGGUCCUGGCUUGAGGGUCCUGCUGCAGGAGAGCUUCUCGUUAUUGAAGUUCCGGAUUUUCUCGUUAAGGUCGCCGACGAAAGAGAUGAGAUUGGAGAUGGAGAAUGGCAAGGUAGAAGAUGAGUACUAAGGAAGGAAGUAUUUAUAAGUUGAGAUGAGUGGGGGUAUUUUUGACUUAUCUCUUUGCCGCAUCCGUGAAAUUCGAGGUUGUUUAGAUGGACAUGGUAACUGUUCGCACGAUAAUAAAGGGACUGUGCAGGUGAUUUGAUGGCAAGUAAUCAUGAUCUUGAGGAUAUUUCACUGUGACAAUAUUUUACUGAGUCAUUGGUAGCACGUUUUGACAUCAAAUUUUUGCCGAUGGGUGGUUUUCCCUAUGAUUUGGUGUUAAUCGGAGUAUGGGUGGUUGAGAGAUAUAUGGUGUUUACUGUUAAUGGUCCUUAAGUACCAAAUAUAAUCAUCAAAUAAAUAAAGAAAAGUAUCCAAAUGCAACCAACACCCAGACUUAGGGUUUUAUCUGACAGAAUUCCACGAGUUUUCGUGUUUGUCUAUUUCUACAGGGGGUUAUCAGGAAAUAUGGAAGAAAGGCCCACACGUCGGGUUUACAUAGAGAUAUUAAUGUGCAGUGCAAUUUUCUAUCAUCUAGAAGACUCCAGAAGCCAUGAGAACGAACAGGAAGGCGAUCGGGCCCGGGGGCAGGGCACCCGCCCUCCCCCCUUGGGUGCCCGCCCUGUUGCAGAGACCAAUCAGGACCCGUCUCGCGGAUUAUGCUCCACCAACCUAAAGGAUCAAGGAUAACCGUUCAAUCAAUGUCGGUUUGAUCCGACGGCCCAGAUUCACUUGAGGGGACUAUAUAAGCAGACCCCCUGGCCCCUCGAGGAGAACAAGUUCAUUAUAGAGUUGAGAGGUGCCCUCGAAGGAUAACCUUUCCUCUACAUAGACUUAGGGCUUAGCAUCCUAUGUGAGAGUAGACUAGAUCUACUAGAUUGAGGGAGAUAGAGUGGAGGUGUAGAUUGGAGGAAGCCUGGCCUGUCGGUGUCUACUCCGAGGUUGUACCUGCGGGAUCAAGCUCUCCUAACCCGAAGCUUGCUCCUAGGAUUCUUCAGUAUUUCGACUUCUAAAUUCUAGUAAGUUAUUGUUUUAUUGUUCUUUGGUUUAUGAGUUUACUUUGAUCUCUUCGCGUAGAGUUUAGAGUAAUCAUCUCUAGCGUAAACAUGGUGUUUGGGCUAGGAUCCUCAUAGAUAUCCCCUAACUAGUUGGACCAUGGUAGCGGCGAGGAAUAUGACAUUUCCGAGUUACCUUUGCAGCCCAUAUCCCGUUAGUAGGAUCGAUAGGGUUUAUAGGUGCGGGUUGAACAUCCUUUGUGGUGUCUAGAUUCCGUGAGCCUCCCCAACAGAACAGUAGAUCAUCCUUACCAAGGUUAGAACAAGAUUACGGUUGUAGUCUUCUCUAUACAUCGCUCACAUCGAGAAACAUUCUUUGUAGCCUAAAGGUUAGUAGUAAUAGACCGGGUUAGUCAGAUGCACUCUUUCUCCUAGUGGUAAAAAUAUAAAAACGAUACUCUGGAUAACAUCCCGGGUGAAGUGCUCACCGAUAUCCUUGCGCUUGCGGAUCAAUUCCUUAUUGCGUUCCCAAAUAUCAACAUUUACUGGGAUGCAAAAAUCAAGGCUAGGUUUAUCCAAAUUUGGUAAUAGAUUUUUGUUAAAAAGAGAGAUAAUUUUGCAAAGAUAAUCAUUGUCCGGAGGAAAUUUUGGAGUAUUAAUGAUUUUAUACUUCGAAAUUGGGGGGCAUGUGUUGACACCGUUUUUGGAACAGGUCAAGUUAGUUGAUGCAAAUCGAUUGGUAAUAGAAAGGUUAUUGUAUCGUGGCAGAGGGAUGCUGAUGGGGAUCGACAGAUAAAGAUAGUGCUAAUGAUAGGGGAUGAUCGGUGGAAGACUUCCGAUGGUUCAGGAUCGAGAUAAGGUCAAAAACGAUAUUUGUUGAUUGUUACUAUGAUUGCCGAUGCCGAUGGAGGAAGUUGUGGAGGCUGCUACCGAUGGGACAGGACUCGAUGAAGACUUAAGACAGGAGUUGAUGAAGCCUUUGUCGUAGCUAGGGGAAGCAUAGGAAUAAAUAGUUAUUAUUUCUGUUGGUGCAAAAGUAGAUCUGCAAACACAAAGGGCGAAUACCCGAUUUGAUGUUAAGGCGUGCCAACCAAUUUGACCUUACAAUCGACAAAGGUGAUAACUCGAAUACUUUGGUCCCGACAACAGCGAUGUGCCCGAAUGUCAUGGCCAACAGGUAUUCACGCGGAACUUGAGAACUCGCCGAGGUUGACUUGAGGAAUUCCUAAGAACUCGUAGUAAAAGGAAAAUACACAAAUUGACGAAGUCAACGAAAAAGUAGAUGCUGGAAUAGAUGUAAAAACAUGUGUUUGAUUGAUUGUGUCUAUCUUUCUUACAUUGCUACGGGGUCUACAUUUAUACCCUGUCUAAAAGAGUUACAAUCAGACACGACUAGAACUCGAACUCUAAAUUGAACGGAAUCCGUAUGCAGAGCAAACUCUAAUAACUAUGGAAAAUAUUAAUUUAUCCACCACCACCGAUCGGCACACCAUCGCCAUCCGAUCGACAAUUCCUGCACCUCCUUUCGUGAUCAUCGGCGAAUCACCUUUUAUAGCCAUCGGCAACCAUCAGCAUUAGUCAUCGGCAUAGAUCUAUUACCACUCCUGAUCUUGGCCACAUUCUGUUGUUUCAUUAUCGGUAUCAAUCUUCAUUGGCAACUCUUCUAUCAACUAGUCACCACUUUUUUGCUUGCCAAUCUACGCCUCAUUAACUCCCAGAUACGCGUCCAAGGAUACAUGUCCAGAAUUGGUGUCAACACAAGCCCCCCAAUUUCGGAGUAUAAAAUCAUUAAUGCUCCAAAUUCUCCUCGGUAAUGAUGUCUUUCUGCAAUUACUCCCUCCUGACAGUAAUUGAUUACCAAAUCCAAACAACCUUAGUCCAAUUUUCCAACAUACUCCUCGAAUCUCUCAACUUCUCGAACCGAAUCUCCUAAUUAUACGUGCAUCGGCAACAUUUCCGUUAGAGAGGCUUGCCGAUGAGCCAAACAGGAGAUCUUGCAUAGUAAGAUAUCUUCAAAAUCAUGACCGCUUGCUGCCAAAUCACCUGCACAAUCACUUGAUUACCGUGCGAACAGUUACCAUAUCCACCUGAACACCCUCAGAUUUCACGGAUACGGCAAAGAGAUAAGUCAGAAUUGCCCCUGCUCACUUUACGCUAUAAAUACUUCAUUCAUUGGCACUCCUCCUCCACCUUGUCAUCCUACAUUCUCCAAACCCCUCUUCCUGGCGGCAACAUUGUUCAAGGACUCCGAGAACUUCAGCAAGCCCCAGCAAUCCCUCAAAUCGUCGAUCUUCUUCCUCUCCGGAAGAAAUGGAGAUCAAUUUUACCGUCCCUGAGGUCAAUUUCUCCCUGUCUUCUCUUUCGCUUGCCGUACUUUAACUUUUGCAAAUCUAUUUACUAAGUAUGUUCUUCCCCCUUUUUUUCUUUUCUGUUCUUCCAACCUUCAAACCUUUAGGAAUUGGCUGAUAAAAUUGUCAUCCCCACCGAUCAACCCCACUUUCAAUGUCUCGGGCCAUUGGGUAACCUGGACCCUACCGAUCUGAUCAAUGCAGAGACAAAUAGAAUCCCUUUUAGAGCUGAAAACUCCUCCUUAGAUCUGUGGAAAGAUACUUUCCGAUCUUGGCCCAGUUCUACUAAGGGGUGGAGAGAUUGGUUUCUGAGAAUUGGCGACUCAAAUGAAGUCCAAUGGAGUGAGCGUAAACUAGACCAGUGCAUUAGGCUAUCCAUUGCCGAUAUGGAAAGAAAUGAAUCACUAUUGAUAGCAGCUUCGUACUUCUGGUCAGACACCUUCAAUGCUUUUUUGUUCGGCCAUGGUCCUGCUUCACCUACUCUUGCCGAUGUGCUCAUGCUCACUGGCUUAGACAUACCAACUGACGAUGAUAGCCAUCUAUAUGAUCACAAACCCGAGCGCAAAGUAGAAACCCGCAACAUCGACGGUUGGUCAGGGUACAUUCAGAAGUACUAGAGGACAGGACGAGUUGGGCAGAGGGAACAUGCCAUCUUCCUAAAUAUGUGGCUAGAUAAGUUCGUCUUCUGUGGCCGAUCGAUAGGACCUACCUCUGUCUACUUAUCGGCAGCAGAAAGACUAGCCGAUGGCGGCCGAUUUCCUCUUGGCCGAUACUUGCCUAUUUCCGCCUAUCACCUCCUCCAUCAAGUAGAUGAGAAGCUCCUGUUGGGCGAACCCAUCGGCAACCUAGGAGGCCCUUGGUGGUUCAUCAACAUGUGGCUUAAUGUUCACAUGCACAAACGCCUCCGGUUCAACCUUUUCGCACAACGAUUCCCCAGAGGUAUCGCUGAAGAUUAUGAACUAGCUGAUGAAGAAUCGGCAACUCACCCACCUUUGAACUACGGUGAGGCUGCUAUAGGUCUACCCGGUACUAGUGAAAAUGAAGACCAUGUCAGCCGAUUUUUCCAGACUCUGUAUGAUGGCCUUCCCAAGGAUCAGCGGGCAUGGAUGCUUUAUGAAGAUCCAGAGACCAAAUUCCUGCUGACCUUUCACCCUUUUGAUGAUGCUCUCAACAAAGACACCGAUUUGAUGAUGGCAAUCAUCACUCCAAGGGCAAUCCUAGUGAAUACUUUUGGUAGUGAGAAGAACUCCAACCCCACUUACGAAUUUUAUAACCCAUCGGCACUGGCUCAUCAACUGGCUUUUGGGCAGCUGCCGAUUGGACUCUGUUAUGCCGAUGUGGUGAAGCCAAGGGAGACUAUAACCAGUGGACUUGAGUGGAUAAGAAUAGCUCAGCUUCAGCCAAAUGCCGAUAUGUUAGACAUUGAUUUAUCGGCAUGGAUCCCAGCCCUCUUCAUCACUCAGAUGUACAAGCAGUGGUGGGAAGAAUGGAAGGAACACUUGUUCAAUACAUCGGCUCUGACAUAUCAUGGCAUGAUCGACCCCAACUAUAAGGUUCCUGAUAACACUGUAAGUCUUCAACCGAUCUCUUAACUUCCUUAUCUCUUUUAUUCUUAUUGGUAACUUACUUGUUUUCAUUUUAACAGGUCGACAAUCCAGCCUUGACAGUCAGUAGGAGUGGAAGAUCGAUCGAACUCCUUCCAUCAGGUCCAAUCUCUCUGAUCGGUCAUAAUGCACCGAGUUUAGCAGCCUUGGCGCAUCGGAAUGUGCGCUUCAAGAAGACGACCACCAGGCGGUCGAAGACUUCCCCAUCGAUUGUCGCUGUCACCCUGGCACAGGCCUUCAAGGUAGAUUCUUAAUUUCCUUGGGUUCUACCGAUUUCAUCCCAUACUUACAUAAUCUUUUCAGGGCACAUCAACUAUUACGGGGACCUCAUCGGUAACUUUCACUGUUCAACAAAAUUUCAUCAAUAUUCUUUUAUGUCUCUUCUCAUGAUAUCUCUGUUUGUUGCAACAGCAAACUGGCAAAUCAGUGAAAACCAGAAGCGCCCAAACAAGUGCUGAUGCUCCCCAGUCCAGCCAAGCCAAGAGAAAAGGUCCCAAGAGCACCAAAUCGCAACCAAAGCGCUAGAGGACAGCACCGUCUUCUCCUCCUUGUCCAGUGUCGUCGAUUCAAGUGGAAUCAUCCCCCUCUUCACCAGAAAUCCAGACACAGCAAGCACCGUCCCCUCCUCGAUCAGCACCUCAGCCACAAGAAGCACCAGCCGAUGUAUCUGAGCAGACUGCCGAUCCAGCUGAUUUUAGUGUAUCAUCAGUUGUCCCCCCAGAACAAACAAGCACCGUCCCCCCUCAAGGUAAAGUACUGAUCAUAACAUUAUUACCGAUGUCUCUUAUUUUUGUGAGUCAUAAUUACCCUCGUAACUUCUCAGUUGAUAUCAUCCCAUCGGUAACUUCAGCCAAUCAACCCAUAGUGCUGAUGGCAUCAUCAGGCCAGAGGCGUGAAAUUGUUUUGAAGCAAGUAAGUUAUCUGAUUUCCAUCCUUUAUCACUAAUAUUUGACCAUCAAAUAACUUAUCUUUAUCUUCUUUCAGGAACAAGCCUCCCCAGACAGCUUAUUCUCCUUUGCCAUCGAUAUUUCUGAUGAUGAGGGUGAAGAAGCGAGCUCUUCCCAAGCAGUAGGGAUCUCAUCGGCAGAAAUCAAAGCCAAGCUGGAAGACCUGUUGGCCCUGCUGCAUCAAGAUACCGCCUAGUUGGUUGAUGAUUCCGAUCCAGCCAAAGCUCUAUUUAAGACCCUUCGCGGUCAAAUUCCAGCCGAUGCUGAAGAGAUUCUUUUCCAAGCUACCCAUCUAGAGAGCCGUCAGCUUCAAUACCAGAAAGCUACCGAGUGCCUUGCUGACAGAGCUGCCUACGCCUGACUUUUAGAGGAAGUAAUGCAAGUAAAGCGCAUCGCCGAUGAGAAGCAUAAGAGUAUCGGCAUUCUGCAGUCCUCAGGGGAUGAACAAAAGCAAAAGAUCUCCACCCUAUCGGCAAGAACGGAGGCUUUGCUAGCUGAGCUCAAACAAGUGGAAGAGGCCCUGACCCAAACUCAACAAGAAAAAAGCUAGCUGCUUGAGAUACUCAAGACUCUUCAGUAAGAACGGAACAUCCAGACUCGUAAAGCAUUGCAGAUUAAAAAGAAAUUGAAGCCAAUAGAGGGUUCUGCCGAUGAGGACAUCCGAGAGAUUGAAGAAGCCAACCAGAUCCAUCUACGGGCCAUAUCUACUAUCCAAGCUCUGCUGAAUUUGUGAGCUUUUCAUCGGCAUCUUGUUUCGUUCUGCCCUUAGAAACUUUUGAUCAUUCUGGUCUAGCUGAUAGGACUGUUAUUGGCACUUUUUAAAACAUUACGAGCUUAGAUACAUUUUAUCCAGUCGAUAGGAGCGUUAUCGGCACUUAAACUUCUAUGCAUCAACCCAGAUGCUUGGGUAAUACUUCUUUAGAUAUUUUCCAUUUAAUGCUCUAGGAAAUUCAACUCCUUUGAGAGUUUCCAAAAUAUAAGCAUUACCAGGAACAGAUUGAUUUAUCCGAUAAGGUCCUUCCCAAUUAGGAGACCAUUCUCUGAACUUUGAAUUUUUUGUCCCAAUCGGUAGAAUUAACUUCCAUAACAAAUCUCCAUCGGCAAACUCCUUAGCUUUUACUUUUUUAUCAUACCAUCUAGCAACUCUGUUUUUAUUCUCUCCUAUACUCAUCAAAGCUCUCAACUGAUGCUCUGCCAAAUCAUCCAACUCACCUUUCAUCAAAGUAGCAUAGUCAUUGGUAGUCAAUUGAUCUUGAAAAGAGACCCGCCUAGAUCCAGUCUUAAUCUCCCAUGGCAACACCUCAUUGUGCCCAUACACCAACUGAUAAGGUCAAACUUUAGUUGAUCCAUGGCAUGCCAUCCGAUAUGACCACAAGGCUUCAUACAACAAUGUGUGUCAUCUUCUAGGAUUUUCUUCAAUCUUUCGCUUGAUAAGCUUAAUAAUCCCUUUGUUAGACACUUCGGCUUGUCCAUUGGCUUGAGCAUAAUAAGGAGAAGAAUUCAGUAAUUUAAUCCCCAUACCGAUUGCAAAUUCGUCAAACUCUCCCGAUGUGAACAUAGUACCCUGAUCAAUAGUGAUUGUUUGAGGAGUACCAAAUCGGUAAACAAUGUGCUCUUUCACAAAAUCAAUCAUGUUAGCCGAUGUCACUUUCUGUCGGCGUCUAGACUCGUGGUCUAGACACAAACGAGUAUAAGUUUGCAUAACUACCCAAGCCUGGAUGGUGAUGCAAGUGAGACACAGAGGGGUUAUACUGGUUCGGGCUUGGAAUGCCCUACGUCCAGUGAGAUCGGGGGUCUGUAUAGCCUUGCACCCAAAGGUACUUGUAGUAGGGGGGUACAAGCAGGUUGCGAGAGAGGGCUAAGUCCCAAGUCUCGACUUUGUGGUGGGUAGAGAACUGGUUGCUAUUCUGCGAGCGAGUAUCGUGAACUCUAUGAACUUAGUCGUGAGCCCUGGCUCCCCUUUUAUAGCCUUAAGGGGAGGCGGGGAUUUACAUGGUGAUUGGAGAUUUCCUUCUGCUGAGUGGAAGAGUAACAGUCCCAACCCUAUAGAAGCUUGCCCAUCCCGUCCUUGAGGCAUGACUGACAGCAUGGCUGCUCCUGUGGAGGGUCACCGAGUCCUGUGGGAGUCGUGGGGGUCGGAUCGGUGAUGCUGCUGCUUGUCCUGUUAACAGUGGGAGAAGACAGCAAAUAGUGAUGCUGAUUAACCUUCCCCAUUCCUCUUUCACUGUGAGGCAGUACACCACAGUGAAAGAGGUAAGGUUGCAUAGUGAAAGAGGUAAGGCCACAGUGGCCAGGGUGGUUGGAAUAGUCGCCGCCAUGCCCUGCUGUGACACAGAAGUCACUGCGUCUGUCACGUCACGGUUACGGGCGCCGUGCGUCGGAAGCCUUGCCUUGAUCUAUUUGGCGCCCGAGCCCUGGAGGGGAUCGGGCGUGACGUAACUUACGCCCGAGGCCGAGGGAAUCGGGCGAGGCGGUGUUCUGCGCCCGAGCCUCUAGGGGGUCGGGCGAGACGGAGCUUACGCCCGAGCCCUGGGGGGGUCGGGUGAGACGGAACUUGCACCCGAGGCUAGUGGGGGUCGGUCGAUACGGUGUCUGCGUCCGAGCCCUGGGGGUCGGGCCUGCCGUGUUUUGAGCUUCGAGAUCGAGGAAGUAGAUGGCUGGGGCCCGCGUCCUGGUGAUCCUAGGGGGGUUUUUUAUCGCUCUGAUCUGGGUAUCCCUUUUUAUGGUACCCAACAGUAGCCCUCGAGCCUUUGAAGGGGUCAGGUCACCUCUUCAAAGGUUCUCUUCUAAGGGACCAUUGUUGGCCGGGAACUUUUUUUACUUUUCUCCGGAGGGUGCGCGCGAGCGCACCCACGGGUGUAGCCCGCGAGCCUUUUGGAGGAAUGGUGUGUAUUACUUCAAAGGCUUUUACCCCUGAGUGAUUCGGUCGGGUGUAUUUGUGGGAUAGGUUGCGUGCUCUUUACACGUAGAGCCUGUUCCCUUAGUGCGAGGAAGCCCCGAGCCCUUUCCCCAUAAGGGUCGAUCAGGUUCUUUCUCGUCUUAGCAAUUCCGUCCCUCAUUCAUCCUUUCGUUCAGAGGAUUGGUGGGUCACACCGUACUACCCUCGAUGGACGAGUAUCGUCGUUCCCCGGGAGCUGCAAGCGGGUAGAUCCAAGUGGAUGUCCGAGUCCCAUUCGAUAGGGGUCGGCUAGUGGCCUUAUGGGCACAUCUCAAAAAUACCCGAGGGCAGUCACGGUGGAUGUCGGAACCGUUCGUUAGGUUCUGAGGGCUCGGUGCCUCCCUCGAUGGGAUCCCACUCGCGUGACACCCGCAUGGGUCUCGGAUAUGACUGGUAAAGAUGCGCCGACCCCCUAUGGGGCUCGGACCUUGGCCUCUAUUGUGCUCAUCUUCAAUCAUCCCUCGCUCAGUCAUCCUGAGGCGACUUGUUCGAACCUGUUUUGCAGGUCAGUCUCGCAACCUCUGGAACGUAGGUGGCCGUGGCCUGCGGAUUUUUAGCCCUGAAAGUUUUUUUUAGGUUUGUUUGCAGUGUCGGGGUCGGUAGAGAUGGGAUUCGCGCCUGACAAGAACCACCUUGCGAUUUUUGCUCGGGGUUAGUAGGGGGUCGGGCGAGACGGAGUCUGCGCCCGACGGAGACCUCCCCGCGACUUUGGUCAGUGGGGGGUCGAGCGCCGCUUGCCCUGGAAGGAACCGCCCCGACAUAACUUUUCAGGGCGCUCCUUUUGAGGCGCGGCGCGUGGGGACUCGAAACGGCCGUGCCGUUGUGCCCUGACCGGAUGGGACGUUUCGCCUGCGAAAUUAAUGCGCGCGUGCGGCGGGCGUGAGGAUAGGAGGGAGUUGGUGCUUCGAAUUUUUCACCUGGUGGGAAGUGGGCGACGGUUGUUCUCCUUCCCACUUGGUCUUCUGCGCAGGCGUUGUGGCCGUGGCGCGCCCCUUCUAUAAAAGCGGCCGUAGGGGACUUGGUUCCUUACCAACUGCUCCUGCGCAAGAAAGCUCCUGCCCCCUGCCUCCUCUUCUGCCACCAUCUUCUCCAUUUCCGCCGCGCAGACGCUCUUCUCCAUCCAAAGCCAUGGCCGGCGUUGAGGCGUGGCCACCCUGCAACGUGACCAAGUCCGCGCUGGACGCCCGUGUAAAGGCCGGGAUUCUCCGUCCUCUCAAAGACGUCGAGUUCCCGUAGUGGAUCGUCCCUUCGGCGAACGACAGGGAGCCAAACCCACCCCUGGGCUAUGUGGUUUGUUUCCUAUCGUUCUUAGACCGAGGGUUCGGAACUCUGGCCGGUCGACUGAUCUGGGCUAUCCUUCACUAUUACAAGGUGGAGCUGCACAAGCUCAACCCCAACUCGGUGAUGCAGGCCGCCGUCUUCGCCACGGUCUGUGAGGGGUUUCUGGGGGUUCCCCCCCACUGGAACCUCUGGCUUCACCUUUUCAAGGCGGAGAUGUCGGCCCGCUAUGUAGGAGGGGAGAAGUUCCCCCUGCGAGAUGGUGGCUGCACGCUGCAACUCCGUCAGCAGCGGUCUUCCCAGUACAUCUGGAGUGCGAUGCCCUCGUCGAACCGGGGGUGGCAGAACAGGUGGUUCUACCUCCGGAACGAUGGUGGGCUUCUCUCGGCGUACACUGGGAAGAUGGUGAUGGAAAGCCCCCAGAAGUGGGUGUGGGGCGCUCCUACAGAGGAGCAGAAGAAGCUCGCCCCGCUUCUUGCAGGGCUUGAGAAGCUGCGGGAUGCCCGAGUCACCGCGGCCACGGUGGCGAUGGCGUUUCACAAGAGGAGUCUGCUCCCGCUGGCGCAGUGGCGAGCAUUCAUGUUCGAGAUGACCCGGGACGUCCCUUGGGCCGGGACGAAGAUGUUGGCCGAGCCGAUAUCAGCAUCGGACAUCGCCGCCUGGGUGGAGAAGACGACGCACCCGGACAUGAAGAAUUCCCGAGUGGUGUCGAUGCACCCUGAAAAGGGUUAUAUCUCUCUGGUAAGAUGUCAAUUUCUGCGCUUGUUCUUUUUUCUUCCUGCCUUUUUCCUGACUGUCGUUUACUCGUAGAGGAUGGGGAUCGUCAGGGAUUCCCUGCCCCCUGUCCUAGAGGACAAGGAGAUCCGGGCCAAGAAUCGGGCCCGAAAUGAGGAACAGAAGAAGGCCAAAGAGGAUAAGAAGGCCAAGGCGGCGCGGAAAGCGCAACGGCGAGAGAUUUCAGCCAAGAACCACCGUGAAGUCGAGAAGGCGGGGGUCGCCCUGCCCGCCUCUCCCGAGACUUCAGUCUCGGAGAUAGAGGGUGGGGGAGACAACACCGACUGGUUUGACGAGCUGGCGGAGGAGGACGACAUAAUCCCCCCUGCUGGCGGGGGGAUUGAGAUCCCAGAGGGGUCGAAGGCCCGAGGGGGGGUCGGAGGCCCCCGAGGGGUCCCAAGCGCCGGGGGGCGGGCAGACCGUCCCCCACAUCAUCGUAGAUGACGAGGACAGCGCCCCUCGGGAGGGCUCAGUUCCCGUGGGCCCCCAAGAAGGGGAGAAGGCGUCAAGGGGCGGAUUCGAGGUGCCCCCUCAACCGGUAGCGCCGGAGGGCCUAGCCGAGCCCCGCCCAGAGUCUGGGACGGAGGUUAGCGGCUUGGUGGAGGCGACGCAGGCCGAGACCGCCGUUGAGGUCCCCACGCCAUUCGCUGGCGAGACGGGGGUCCGGCCUACGGCCCCUGGCGCUUCGGGAGGCCCUCAAGGAGCUCCGAGCUCCCAGAAGAAGGCUGCCCCCCGAGCGAGGUAUGUACGGGAUUUCUGAUCCUUCUGUUGAUUUUUUGUUUUUCUCUUUCUUCUGAUUUGUGUUAUCUUUUCAGCCAAAAGCAGAAGGCAGCACCGGUGGCGCUGGCCCCCCUGAAGGUCGUGAAGAGGGGGGCGCAGUCGACUCCUGGGUCGGCUAGGCCCAUGUCGCCACCCCCCUGAGCCGCGAGGAGGUAGGGGGCCGUUAGGAAGGAGAGGGGCAGAAGACGGGGUCGCCAAGGCCCCAAAGGCCGGAGGAUGCCGGUCUGGGAGGCGCUGUUCGGCCCGCGCAGAUUGAGGAAGGUCGAGCCAUCGUGGCGUCCAACCCGGCGCCCGAGGCUCCCACGGCGGGAGGGGAGGGCGAUGCCUGAUGGGGCAAGAGCCCCAUAUUCUGGCCCAACCUCGACGACGCAGAGGGAGGGGCCAGAUUCAUUCUGGACGACCAGUCGGAGGAUUACCUCUGGCAGGGUCUGGACGCAUGCGGGCGUGCCAGCGUCGAGGCCAUCAACCAAGCUUCUCAGCUCGUGAGCCGAGACAUGUAUAACCUGGCCUAGGUAAGGCCUCCUCCCAUGUUGUGAAGUAUUUUUGCUCUAUUUUGCAACACUGACUCCCUGUGCGACUUCUGAUUCUGUAGGCGCUCAAGGCUACAUCUCUAGAGAAGUCAGUUUUUCUCCGGAGGGAAAGGGACGCCUGGGUGACCUGUGAGAACGAGAGGGCUGCUAGGGAGGCGGCUGAGGGGGAGCUCGCGAAGGAGUGCGAGAUCUCUGCCGAGCUUCGGCAGAAGUGCUCGGCCCUUGCAACCGAGGCUCAGGAGGCCCGGGAAAAGGUCACCCCCUAGAGAAGAGGGUCGGGGAUCUUACCCAGGAAUCCGAGGAGCAGAAGGCGGUGGCUGAGAGGUACAAGGGCGAGGUUGCUCGGCUUGAGGCUUUGCUCGCCAAAAAAGACGUUGCCCUAAACCAGACUCAGGCUGACCUUGCUGCUGCUCAGAGCCAGGUGGCCCGCUGGCACUGGAGCUUGGCGGAGCACGAGAAGCGAGCCGAGGGUAAGACUUGCGCGUUUUACCUUGGCCCUGUUUGUAUUUUUGGGUUAGUUUUCCUGAUUUCUCAUUUUUUGUUCUGCUUUUCAACAGAGUUAGAGAGGAAGGUGGUCGAGGCGACUUCUGCUGCCGAGGCCCUGCAGAGGUCCCUUGAUGCCGAGGUUUCAGACAGCUCGGUUCUUGAAUCCGUGGUCACCUCGGCGUGCGAGGGACACAGGGUGACGGCGUCGGGGUCGUCGCUGCAGAGUCGGGUCGAAGCCCUUUACUCCCGGGCCGGGGAGAGGAUGAGGGAGGCGCUCCACGCCGAGGUGAAGAAAGCCCUGGCGGUAGUGAGCUCUCACUACGCCGGCAUUGACUUGCCAGCGGUUUGUGAGGGCUACGUCCUCCCUGACGACGAGACGGAGGCCCAGGAGGAGGUGCAGAGGCUUGAAGAUGCCGCGACUGCCCCCGGGGAUACCUUGGCCGCCUUCUUUGAUGACGAGGUGGAGCUUCCCUCCCUCAGGGCGCAAGGGCCUGCGCAGGCAGGACAACAAGGCCAUUUAAGUUAGAUUUCUUUUUGUAGAUGUUAAGGCCAGUGGGCCUUGUAUUGUAUAUACAAUAUUAAUGCUAAGUAUGAAUAUUUAUAUGAUUGUUCCUUUUGAGCUUUUUUCCUAAGUGUCUUGUUUUCUUUUCCCUUAUGCCGACCCGACCUCAGCAGCGUGAGGUCUGGUAAGCUACUUAGAGUCUGCGCUAGCUGGAAUCCCCGAGCUUAGGUCUUUUUCCUUCUUCCUUAGUAGUUUUUUGAAGUCCGGAUCCACCCCCUGACCCUAAGGUGAGUAGAGGUCGUCUUUGCUCGUGGGCGCAGAUCUUUCCUCGGGCUCAUGCCUUAAGGUUUAGGGGAUGAAUUUUCGGUUUCUUAAAUCUUUUUAGGAAAUGGGAAAAAGACCUUGGGCCGGGGUUCUUUGUGCGAAAAAAGAAAAAAGAUAUGGAGUUGCCACAGGGGGUUCCCCCCUAUGUAGCCCCCGAGGAAGGCUAGGACUCUGCAAGGCAGGUCCGAGGCUUACUCAAAAGAAACGGUCAUAUAAUUUAUUCAUUCUUUCAAGAUGAUGAACAAAUGGAAAUUUUUACAAAGUUCUAGGGGUAAAAGCGACGUAGCUGUUCUAUGUUCCACGCGUUUUUGAAGACCUCCCCUGCUUCGUUGGCGAGCUUGUAGGUGCAGGGUCGGAGAACUUCGGCGAUGACGAUGGGUCCUUCCCACGGGGGUGUGAACUUGUGACGACCCUUGUUGUUCUGCCUGAGCCUCAGCACCAAGUCACCGACUUGAAAGGCUCAGCCUCGGAUUCGUCGCGCAUGGUAUCGGCGGAGGGCCUGCUGGUACUUGGCGGAGUGUAGGAGGGCUACGUCUCGGGCCUCAUCCAGCUGGUCCAGCGCGUCUUCUUGGGACAUUUUACAGCUAUUUUUGUCGUAGGCUUGUACCCUUGGAGACCCGUACUCCAGAUCCGUGGGGAGGACAGCUUCCGACCCAUAGACCAUGAAGAACGGGGUGAAGCCUGUGGCUCGGCUUUGGGAAGUCCUUAGACUCUAGACCACGGCCGGUAGCUCCUUGAGCCAUCUUUUUCCAAACUUGUUCAGCCGGUUCAAAAUCCUGGGUUUUAGACCCUGGAGGAUCAUGCCAUUGGCACGCUCCACUUGGCCGUUAGUCUUGGGGUGAGCCACUGCUGCCCAAUCCACACGUAUGUGGUGUCUGUCGCAGAACUCCAGGAACUUUCGCCCGGUGAACUGUGUGCCGUUAUCGGUGAUUAUGGAGUUCGGCACUCCAAAUUGGUGGAUAAUAUCUGUGAAGAACAGCACUGCUUGUUCGGCCUUGAUCCUUGUGAUGGGUCGGACCUCAAUCCACUUGGAGAACUUGUCGAUUGCGACGAGCAAGUGGGUGAAGCCCCCGGGCGCUUUCUGCAGAGGCCCGACCAGGUCGAGGCCCCAGACAGCAAAAGGCCAGGUGAUGGGGAUCGUCUGCAGGGCCUGAGCGGGGAGAUGAAUCUGCCGAGCGUAAAACUGGCAUCCCUCACAGGUCCGCACGAUCUCCGUGGUGUCGGCCACGGCGGUGGGCCAGUAGAAGCCUUACCGGAAGGCAUUACCUACCAGCGUCCGAGGCACGGCGUGAUGGCCACAAGCCCCCAAGUGUAUGUCCUGCAGGAGCUUGAUCCCGUCCUGACGUGGGAUACAACGCAUAAGGAUGCCCGAGGGGCUGCGUUUAUACAACUCUCCGUCAAGGAGGACAAAGGUCUUGGCGCGACGAGCCACGUGCCUUGCCUCAGCCUGGUCUGGGGGCAGAGUGCCAUCGACGAGGCGUUGCAGCAAGGGGUAGCGCCAGUCUGGUGAGUCGUCAGGUGCAGGGGGUUCAGGCUCGAUGUCCAUGGUCUCCUGCUCCUGAACAGCGGGGUCAUUGGGGUCGGGGCCUGGUUCACUUGGGGGUUUAUCCGACCCCUCGUCGUCCUUGUAGUCAACAGAAGGCUUGUAGAGGUCGCUGACAAAAACGUUAGGGGGAACCGUGGCCCGCUUGGAUGCCAGCUUGGCGAGUGCGUCGGCGGCCUCAUUGUAUUUUCUUAGUACGUGGUUAAGCUCGAGGCCGUCGAACUUUUCCUCCAGGCGUCGGGCCGCUUUGCAGUACGCGUCCAUCUUGGGAUCAUGGCAGCUAGACUCUUUCAUGACUUGGCCGAUGAUGAGUCUAGAAUCGCCUCAGACCUCGAGCCGUUUGAUCCCAAGCUCGAUCGUGAUGUGGAGACCAUUGACGAGGGCCUCGUACUCUGCUGCAUUGUUCGAGGUGGGGAAGUGGAGUCAGAUUGCAUACCGCAUCCUUACCCCGAGGGGUGAGAUGAAGACGAGGCCCGCGCCGGCCCCGGUUUUCAUCAGAGACCCAUCGAAGUACAAGGUCCAGCAUUCGUGCUAGAUCUGUGGUGGGGGGAGCUGUGUCCCCGUCCACUUUGCCACAAAAUCUGCUAGGAUUUGGGAUUUUAUGGCUUUCGAAGGCUCAUAGGUGAUUCCGUCACCCAUGAGUUCUAUGGCCCACUUGGCAAUCCUGCCAUUAGCUUCACGGUUCUGAAUCACUUCCCCCAGAGGGAAAGAUGAUACUACUGAGACCGGAUGAGACUCAAAGUAAUGGCGGAGCUUGCGCCGGGCCAGGACUACCGCAUAGAGUAGUUUUUGGAUUUGGAGGUAUCGGGUCUUUGUGUCGGACAGUACUUCACUGAUGAAGUACACCGGUCUUUGGACCGGCAGGGCGUGCCCUUCUUCCUUCCUUUCGACCACGAUAGCUGCGCUAGCCACUUGAUCAGUGGCUACAACGUAGAGAAGUGGUUCCCCCUCGGCGGGGGGUACCAGGAUGGGGGGUUGGUGAGCAGAGCCUUGAGCUUGUCAAGGGCUUCCUGGGCCUCGGGGGUCCAGGAAAAGUGCUCGGAUUUCAUAAGUAACCUAUACAGAGGUAGCCCUUUCUCUCCGAGACGAGAGAUGAAACGACUUAGGGAGGCUAAACAUCCCAUGACCCUCUGUACUCCCUUUAGGUUACGGAUUGGGCCCAUAUUUGCGAUGGCCGAGACCUUUUCUGGGUUGGCCUCAAUCCCUCGCUCCGACAUGAUGAACCCGAGGAGCAUGCCUCGGGGGACCCCGAAAACACAUUUUUCGGGGUUAAGUCUGAUCCCCUUUGCCCUGAGGCAUCAGAAUGUCUCUUCCAGGUCAGCAACUAGGCCGCUUGCUUUCCUGCACUUGACAACAAUGUCAUCUACGUAAGCCUCUACCAUUUUGCCUAUGAGGUCCCCAAAGACCUAGAGCAUACAUCGCUGGUAUGUAGCCCCCGCGUUCUUGAGGCCAAAAGGCAUGGUUACGUAGCAGUACAUUCCGAAAGGGGUGAUGAAAGAAGUCGCGAGCUGGUCGGACUCCUUCAUCUUGAUUUGGUGGUAACCGGAAUAAGCAUCAAGAAAAGAUAAAAUUUCACAUCCCGCGGUGGAGUCAACUAUUUGAUCAAUACGAGGCAAUGGAAAGGGGUUUUUUGGACAUGCUUUAUUUAAACUAGUAUAGUCUACACACAUCCUCCACCUCCCAUUUUUCUUUUUGACUAGCACAGGGUUAGCUAACCACUCGGGAUGGAAUACCUCCUUGAUGAAUCCGGCCGCCAGCAGCUUGUGGAUCUCCUCCCCGAUGGACCGACGCUUCUCCUCGUCGAAUCGGCGCAGGCGUUGCUUCACGGGUUUGGAGCCAGCUCGGAUGUCCAAGGAGUGCUCGGCGACUUCCCUCGGUAUUCCAGGCAUGUCCGAGGGACUCCACGCGAAUAUGUCGGCAUUUGUGCGGAGAAAGUCGACGAGCACCACUUCCUAUUUGGGGUUGAGGCUGGAGCUGAUCCUCAAUGCCCUGCCCUCAGAGGUCCUGGGGUCGAGGAAGACUAGCUUGGUCUCUUCCGCCGGCUCGAAGCUCCCGGCAUGACGCUUGGGGUCUGGGACGUCCUGGUCGCAGUCGCCAAGGCCGGUGAGGAUAGCGAGAGACUCAGCCAGAGCCUCGACCUGCUCGUUGCACUCAACAUCACACUGAUAGGCGUGCUGACUGGUCGUGCUGACGGUGAUGAUGCCCUUUGGCCCUGGCAUCUUGAGCUUGAGGUAGGUGUAGUUGGGGACGGCCAUGAACUUGGCGUAGCACGGUCGUCCCAGGAUUGCGUGGUAGGUCCCUGGGAACCCGACCACGUCGAAAGUGAGGACCUCCCAUCUGAAGUUGUCAGGGUCCCAAAGCAGACGGGCAGAUCGAUCUGUCCGAGGGGGUGGGCACGAUGUCCCGGCACCACUCCGUGGAAUGGUGCUGUGUCGUUCCUCAGCCGGGACUUGCUGAUCCCCAUGAGGGCCAGAUUCUCGUCGUAAAGGAUGUUGAGGCCGCUGCCUCCGUCCAUCAGCACCUUGGUGAGACGGGUCUCGGCGAUGAUGGGGUCGACGAUCAAUGGAUAGCUCCCGGGAUUGGGGACCCGAUCCAGGUGAUCUUGUCUGUCGAACGUGAUUGCGCUCUCGGACCACUUGAGGUACGUGGGCGCGGCCGUGCUGACUGCGCAAACUUCUCGGAGUUCGCACUUCCUCUGACUCAAAGUGAGGCGAGCCGCACGUCCCCCAAAGAUCAAGAGACAGUUCUUGAUCCUGGGGAUACCCUCCCCUUGAGGGUCGUCGUCCUUGGGGGGCUCUUCAGUGCCCUCUUUAGAGAUGAGGUCGGUGUAGUACCGACGCAGGACUGUGCACUCCUCAAGGGUGUGUUUGGUUGGUCCCCUGUGAUAGGGGCACGGUUUCUUCAACAUCUUGUCGAAGAGACCGGGGCCAGCAGGAGCCCGCUUGGGGUUCUUGCGAUCUGCCGCGGCGACUAGGUUGUCAUCUGACCGACCCUGCUUCCCUUUGCGACCCUUCUUCUUCUUGGAGUCGUGUGAGCCUGAGGCCUCGGUGGCCUCGGCCUUCUGUUUCACCUUGGCAGCACCGUCGGAGAAAAUGGCACCAACUGCCUCCUCGCCCGAGGCAAAGUUGGUGGCAAUGUCGAGCAGCUGGCUAGUGCUCGUGGGGGUCUUGCGACCAAGCUCAUGUACCAGCUCCUUGCAGGUGGUACCGGAGAUGAAGGCUCCGAUGACGUCGGAGUCCAUGAUGUUGGGGAGCUCGGUGCACUGCUUGGAGAAUCGCCUGAUGAAGUCUCGUAGGGAUUCAUCGGGCUUCUGCCUACAACUCCUGAGGUCCUAGGAAUUCCUAGGGCGAACAUAUGUGCCCUGGAAGUUCCCGACGAAGAUCUUGACCAGGUCGGCCCAGUCGUGGAUCAUGCGCUUAGGGAGAUGCUCGAGCCAUGCCCUGGCCGUAUCGGACAGAUGCAACGGGAGGUUGCGGAUGAUGAGCAGGUCAUCGUCCGCUCCACCUAGCUAACAUGCUAGGCGGUAAUCUACCAUCCAGAGCUCGGGGUUGGUCUCCCCUGAGGACUUAGUGAGGUUGGUGGGCUGUCGGAAUCGUGCCGGGAACUUGGCCCUGUGUAUGUCCUCGCUGAAGACGCGGGGACCCGGAGGCUCUGGUGACGUGCUGCGGUCAUGGUCGGGAUCGUACCUUCCGCCUCGGCGCGGUCGAUAGCGUCGAGACUCAGCCUCGUCCCUAUCACGCUGUCUGGCCUUGAGGGUGGCCCGAAUGUCCGCGUCAGCCCCGACGCGCUCGUGGACAGAUGGGGCCCUGGCCCCCUUGCGGGUUAGGAGGCGGCGGACCCUGCAUAGUCGGUGCCUUGUUAGGAGGGGGUCGGUCCUCUUGACGUCUCGUGCCGUGGGACUGUGAUGCAGAACUUUCCGCGUUCUGCACCACGUCCUGCUCCAGGAGGCUACGUAGCCCCUGGCGCACCCUCCUUCCUUCAGGAGUCGACGGCUCGGGCAUCGCCCUGAGGAGGAGCGCGGCGGCCAUCACGUUCUGGCUGGCCAUGCUGAAGACUGGGGCGUCACCCCCUUGGUCCUUGACGAUACGGCGGUUGACGUCUCGAGCUCGGCGUCUAGCCUCGCCCCCGUCCCCGUGGCCGGAUGGAUCUCGGACUAGGGUCUCGUGGAGUUGGCGGAGGCGUGCGCGUUCUUCUUUGAGCCUGGCCUCCAGCUCAUUGAGCUGCUCGAGGUCAGGGCGGUGUCCUCCUACGGGGGCUGAUGCUACUCCACGGGCUCCUGGGUCGGUCCCGGGUGUAGGGUUGGGAGGUGGGGUUGCAUUCUCCUGCCUAGAGGGUCCUGCACCCCCCUGAGCGUUAUGUGGCGUCCCUCCGACUUUGAGGUUAAAACACUCUCGUGACGGGUCGUAGCUGCCGUCGUCGGAGUCGGAGUAACCAAGGCAAUAGUUGCUGGCCUCCAGGAAACACAUGAAAGUUUCCAGGUCUCCACACCCGGAAAAGUCAGCGCCCGCCCACUCAUCAUCGCCAGAUGUAGGGUCCUUUGGUAUGACGAAACGGGCGGUGAUGCGAUGAGGUCCAAGGUUGACCUGAGAUGGUGCCCUAGGAGAUCCACAUACGCACUUAACGAAGUGUUCACGGAAGAGGCGUAAGUGGCGGCUGUGUCCCUGAGCCCAAAAGGGAGCUCGGGAGGUGCCACUGUCACUCCUCCAUCCGUAGGUGGAGGGGGACGGGAUGAUGUGGUCCCUUUGUCCCUCUUCUGGGGAGUGGGCGUGGGCCGUGCCUUCCCCUUCGACCAGGGUGGAACAGGAGGUCUUGAUGAUCCUCUGUUGGUCCGGGGAGCGGAGCUUAAUGCCCCGCGAGCCCUUCCUCUAGCGCCUAUCGGGCCGGAGGAACAGGUGAUCUGGUGAGGAAUAUGCGGGGGGAGGGCCAGACGGACCCUCGCCUCAGUGGUAGGGUCAGAGAUCCUGGACCUCUGACGCCCCCGCCGGGCAGCCCCCUCAUGGUGCCCCGAGCGCCUCCCACGUACUGACUGUGGUGGGAUCGGCUCAGGACGCGGCUCGGUACCACCACGUGGUGGAAGGAGGACCAUGUCAUAGCCGAAGCCGAGGAACAUGAACUCCAAACUCCCAAACAUCAUGAUGGUGCCGUGGCGGAGUGGGUGAAAUCCAUCUGCCAUCCAGGUCUUCCCUAGUAGGAAGAGGUGAAUGUCACACAAAAGGCCCCUACCUGGCGCGCCAACUGUCGGCGUCUAGACUCGUGGUCUAGACACAAACGAGUAUAAGUUUGCGUAACUACCCAAGCCUGGAUGGUGAUGCAAGUGAGACACAGAGGGGUUAUACUGGUUCGGGCCUGGAAUGCCCUACAUCCAGUGAGAUCGGGGGUCUGUAUAGCCUUGCACCCAAAGGUGCUUGUAGUAGGGGGGGUACAAGCAGGUUGCGAGAGAGGGCUAAGUCCCAAGUCUCGACUUUGUGGUGGGCAGAGAACUGGUUGCUAUUCUGUGAGCGAGUAUCGUGAACUCUCUGAACUUAGUCGUGAGCCCUGGCUCCCCUUUUAUAGCCUUAAGGGGAGGCAGGGAUUUACAUGGUGAUGGGAGAUUUCCUUCUGCUGAGUGGAAGAGUAACAGUCCCGACCCUAUAGAAGCUUGCCCAUCCCGUCCUUGAGGCAUGACUGACAGCAUGGCUGCUCCUGUGGAGGGUCACCGAGUCUUGUGGGAGUCGUGGGGGUCGGAUCUGUGAUGCUGCUGCUUGUCCUGUUAACAGUGGGAGAAGACAGCAAAUAGUGAUGCUGAUUAACCUUCCCCAUUCCUCUUUCACUGUGAGGCAGUACACCACAGUGAAAGAGGUAAGGUUGCAUAGUGAAAGAGGUAAGGCCACAGUGGCCAGGGUGGUUGGAAUAGUCGCCGCCAUGCCCUGCUGUGACACAGAAGUCACUGCGUCUGUCACGUCGCGGGUACGGGCGCCGUGCAUCGGAAGCCUUGCCUUGAUCUGUUUGGCGCCCGAGCCCUGGAGGGGAUCGGGCGAGACGUAACUUACGCCCGAGGCUGAGGGAAUCGGGCGAGGCGGUGUUCUGCGCCCGAGCCUCUAGGGGGUCGGGCAAGACGGAGCUUACGCCCGAGCCCUGGGGCGGUCGGGCGAGACGGAACUUGCGCCCGAGGCCAGUGGGGGUCGAGCGAGAUGGUGUCUACGUCCGAGCCCUGAGGGGUCGGGCGUGCCGUGUUUUAAGCUUCGAGAUCGAGGAAGUAGAUGGCUGGGGCCCGCGUCCUGGUGAUCCUGGGGGGCUUAUUUUGCCUUUUGUGAUUUUUUAUCGCUCUGAUCUGGGUAUCCCUUUUUAUGGUACCCAACACUUUCUUCAAAGGAAUAGCUUCAACCCAUUUAGUAAAAUAGUCAGUGGCAACUAAGAUGAACUUAUGCCCCUUGCUUGAUGGUGGAUAAAUCUAGUCGAUUAGAUCAAUAGCCCAUCCCCGGAACAACCAAAGCUUAAUAAUAGGAUUCAUGGCUGAUGCGGGUGCCCUUUGAAUAUUACCAAACCUCUGAUAUCCUUGACAUCCUUUGAAAUAUUUAAAGCAAUCCUCAAGCAUAGUCGACCAAUAAUACUCAUUUCUCCUAAUCAUCCACUUCAUCUUAAAAGCCGACUGAUGUGCUCCACACACUCCUUCAUGGAUCUCACCCAUCAAGCUUCUAGCCUCAUCAUCACCCAAGCAUUUGAGUAAAACUCCAUCUAUCGUUCGAUAAUAUAACUCUUCUCCAAGGAGUACAUACUUGGUAGCUUGAAACCUGACACGCCUCUCAACUUUUUUAGAUGGAUCUUUUAAGUAAUCAAUGAUUUCUUUUCUCCAAUCAUCGGCACUGAUUGUCGAUAGCAUAUUUAAGAUGGGUUGAUAUCCCGAGGCGUGUUGAGCCAACCGAUUAGCUUCUUCAUUAUGUAAUCGGGGAACAUGCUCCAAUCGAAAAUCCUUGAAUUCCCUCAACAGUUGUAUGCUCUUUUCAUAAUAGGUUAUCAAAUCUUCACUUCGGCAUUCAUAAAUUCCAGAUAAUUGAUUUAUUACAAGCAUAGAAUCGCCGAAGAUCUCAACAGCAUCAGCAUGAACUUCUUUUAACAACUCCAACCCCUUGAUUAGAGCUUGGUACUUGGCUUGAUUAUUUGUCGACGUGGCAACAAUCGGCAAAGAAAACUCAUACUUCUUUCCUCGAGGAGAAAUUAGUACUAUGUCGACUCCUGCCCCCCGGUCACACGUGGAUCCAUCAAAGAAGAGCGUCCAAGGAAUGAUUUCCAAAGUGCCCACCAUACCGCAAUGCUGAGUUACAAAAUCGGACAUAAUUUGCCCUUUAACUGCCUUAGCCGAUUCAUAACACAGAUCAAACUCUGAUAAGGCCAAAAUCCAUUUGCCGAUUCUACCACUCAUAAUCGGCACUGACAACAUGUAUCGGACUACGUCAUCUUUGCAUAUAACAGUGCAUUCGGCCGAUAACAACUAGUGUCUUAAUUUGACACAUGAAAAGUAUAGGCAUAAGCAUAGUUUUUAAUUGCCGAAUACCUUGUCUCAGCAUCCACCAAUCUUCUACUUAGAUAAUAAAUCACACGCUCCUUUCCUUCAAAUUCUUGAAUUAGAGCCGAACCGAUGACCAUUCCAUCGGUAGACAAAUAUAAUUGGAAAGGCUUUCCUUGUUGAGGUGGAAUCAAAACUAGAAGAUUUGUCAAAUAAUUCUUGAUUUCAUCUAACGCCAACUGUUGCUCCUUCCCCCAUAUAAAUUCUUGAUCGGCUUUUAACUUGAGUAAAGGACUAAAAGCACGAAUCUUACCUGAUAAGUUAGAUAUAAAUCACCUGAUAAAAUUUAUCUUGCCGAUCAGAUAUAGGAGUUCAGUCUUGUUGGUGGGAGCAACUAUUUUGUUGAUAGCAUCAAUAGAUCUCCUACUAAUUUCGAUCCCUCUCUGAUGUACCAUGAAACCAAGAAACUGACCUGCCGAUACACCAAAUGCACAUUUAUUAGGAUUCAUCUUUAAACCGUGUUUCCUUGUGCACUCCAACACCUUUCGUAGAUUGGCAAGAUAUUUUGUAAAAUCUCCAGAUUUAACCACCACAUCGUCAAUAUAGAUUUCCACCAACUUGCUGAUGAACUCAUAAAAGAUAAAAUUCAUAGCCCUCUGAUAAGUAGCACCAGCAUUCUUCAAGCCAAAGGUCAUGACUAUCCAGUCAAACAACCCAACAUGACCAGGACAUCUAUAAAUGCAGUCUUGGGAAUAUCUUCCUCAGCCAUGAAUAUCUGAUUGUAUCCUGCAUUACCAUCCAUAAAGCUUAUGAUCCGAUGUCAAGCUGCAGCGUCAACCAGCAAAUCGGCAACUGGCAUUGGAUAACCAUCCAUCGGCGUAGCUUUGUUGAGAUUUCUAAAAACAAUACAGACACAAAGUUUCCCAUUCUUUUUAUAAACAGGGACUACAUUGGAAAUCCAUUCAGCAUACCGACACUGCCGAAUAAAUUUAGCUUCAAUAAGUUUAGUUAUUUCAGCCUUAAUAUCAGGAAGGAUAUUAGGAUUGCAUCGGCGUGCCGGCUGCUGAUGUGGCCGAAAUCUAGAUUUGAUAGGCAACCGAUGUUCAACAAUCGAUCGGUCUAAACCAGACAUCUCGGUAUAAUCCCAAGCAAACCAAUCUUUAUAUUCCUUUAAAAAUCGGUUAAUUGUUGCUUACACUCAGAAUCUAACUUAGCACUAAUAAAAGUAGGCUUUGGCUUAUCUCCAUUACCUAUAUCUACUUCUACUAAAUCAUCAGCCGAUGUAAACUCGUGGCCUAGUUUUCCAUCAUCGGCGAACCUAUCCAUUAAGAUUCUUCAUCAGAACCGACUGCUUGGAUCGGUGGAAUCUCAUAAUCGGCAACUUUGAGAAAAUCCUUUUCCCAAGCUUCCCCUGAAAUGCAUCUAGUCCUUUCAUAGGUAUCCACCUCCAAUAGGAAUGCGACGAGGACGACCAAAAUUAGCAAAACCAAGACCACGUUCGCCAUGUCCACGACCAGCAGGACGACGUGGUGGAUCAUCAUCCUCCUCAAUUUCAGCAUCCUUAUUUGGUGGCGGAUCUCCAUGUGGCAUGUUCAGUUGGAGAGUUUGGAACUGUUGCAUCAGAUUAUGCAUUUGUGUAUGCAUCUCCUCGAAUUCCUCCACCGAAACAGGGGCACCAUCUCCAAUUCCUGCCAUAUUAGUACAAACAAAAAUAUAGAAUACAAUAAUAUGUGGAAUCACUCCCUUACCACUUACAAAACAAGUUCUUUCUCUCCCUGAAAAGAGCAAGAACCGGGGCUUCAAUUUGUAGGGAAGAGUGAUUGUAAUAGCGACGACGGUGCAACAACUCACGGAGCUUUUAAGUGGAGCUUGGUGGGGUAAUAUGUAAGUGGAAUGCACUGAAAUGUAGUGAUGCAAAACCGAAUAAUAAUCCAAGAACACAAGUCUAAGUUGCUGAAUAUAAAGGAAAAGAUGCAUAGAGAAAGGAACAAGAUGUAGAAAGUGGAUAGAUUAACACCAAUUGCACCAACUUAAACUUGUUGCUGCCCAAACCCCUUUUGGUGUGCUGAACACAAUUCUAUUUUAUUUCUUUUUGUUCUUUUUUUCGUUCUUUUUUUUUACAACACGAACUCGUUGUUUUCAGUCCUUCUUUUGACUCAUAUAUAUCUUUUCUUUUAACCUGUGUGACAAACACAGCACAACUUUCAACUAAAAAGGGCCCAUAUGGAUCAACUAUUAUGGAUGGAGCAGCACAAAAACAAGAAACUCAGGUGGGGAAUAUGUAGUGGUUAGAAAACAAGGGUGGGUUGGGUGGGUAUUAUUUUUUUCUGUUUAUAUAUAUGCAGCAAGUAACGAUCAGAUCAAGGGUGGGAUGGGUGGGUACAUGCAGCGAGCGAUUUGAUGAUUAGAACAAAGAUAAAAACUAGAAAGAUGUGGAAAAGAAAAUUCAGCACCUAGACAAAUAUUAAAGGAUUAAAACUCGAUAAAGCAAACUACAAAAUCAGUAGCACGUAUGAAUUUGGGCUGUAGGUUUUGUUUUUGGCUAUUAGUGGACAGUAGGUAUAUAAACUCUAUCCUACCAAAAACAAGAACAAUGCUACUGAGGAAAUGGAGGCUUUGAUACCAGAUGAUAUGCACACGUUUAUGCAGCAGGUGUAGCAAGUUGUUGUGGCCCGAUCUUCUUGUAGGAUCUGCGAACUUGAUAACUUGUCGUUGCGUGACCUGGUGAAGAGGCAAUGCACCGCGAGGCUGCCCACAUGACGAACUACCAAGACAAUCACCCUUCCACGUACCGACGAACAGCCCACGCAAUCACACAGUAUAGACGUGAAGGCACAAACUGGGUGAACAACAGUUCGACGUUCUACAACUCCCUCAGGAAUCGAACGAACAAGUUUGCAAGCCUCUCAAGACUCACUUGAAACACAAAUUCCAAGGGUUGGUAUUUCUGAAAUUGCAAUCACCAGUUACUGUUCACAUCACCCAUUACAAGGAUAUAUAGCACUAGUGAAUUUCAUGGAUGGUUCACACGUCUUUUCUGCUUCUGACAGCAGUUACUAAAAUGAGCAUAACUCUUUAUUGGGAAGUAUAAAAAAUGAGUCGUUUGAUUGGUUGGAAAGUGGACUUGAAGAUGCUUCUAUCCACUUAUAGAAUACCGUCUAACUCCUUAUAUUCUAUCCACGGUGAUGCUUGGAAUUCGUACCAUGUGUCAGCCACCUAGCUUCUGGUUGCAUUCCCAUGCAAAAGUGAUGAACCACCAUUUUAUUCAUGUACACCAUAGGCUUCUUGGUUCAGAUGUCCAGAGGCUUGAAUCCAUCUUCAUCCCAUGCUGGUUCAUACACUCCAUUAUUCAUAAGGACAUUAAAACAAGAACUCAAUAGUAUAGGUUUAUUCAACAUAAACUGAUUAUUAAACAUAAGGUUAGCGUUCACCUAAGAAUGAAUUUUUUUCUCCAAUUGUUUAGCUCUACUCCUUGUAACUGGACUAGCUGUAUCAAGUGUAGCUUCAUCUGAAGAGGAGUGAAUGCUAGGCACGAAGAUCACCCGGAGGUCUUGUGGGUGGCUCGUGUCAAGCUUGUGAGCGGUUGUGGGUGACUCACCGUGACGGAGUCUCAAAAAAUCAGCCCGUAGAGAGCACUUGGUCCUUGCACGGACCAAGGGGGAGCAAGGCCCUUGCACGGGUGCUCCAGCGAGGGCUAGUGGAGAGUGGCGACUCUAUGAUACCUCAACAAAACAUCGCCACGCUCCUCUUCCUCUCAACCUUUACAUUCUAGCAUUUACUUUGAGUACUUUACAUUCUUAGAAUUGCCAUGCUAGAAUAAGAUUGGAACCAGGUGCUGGGCAUUCUUAACGUCACUACCAAAAGUAGACUUAGUUUUCUAAUUCUGAUAACGGCGCCAAAAAUGCCAAACCUAUCCCUCAUGCCACUUAAGCCAAGUUGUCAUCCUCAGCAUGACAUGAGAGAUACGGUAUUGAAAUAUACAAUUGUUCUUCUAAAUAAAUAAUAACUGAGAUCUGCAAGCGCACAGAUUAAUACCGAUGCAUCAUUUUAACCAGGAAGUAUUCCAGGUAUCGUUAUUUAUAUUUUUACCACUGGGAAGGGAUUGCUAAACAUCAAUGUUGAUUAUGGAAGGGAAUAUAUAAUUGAGUAUCUAUCAUCGCAUGUAUAAUUGAGAGCAUUUAUCUAUCUCUUUCAUAGAGGGAUAAGUGUCACAUAAAAGAUAGAUAAAGUAUGAAUGGUGACAAAGAUAAUUAAUCUGAUCAGCAUAACUUAGCCACAUAUAAUAAUGACAAGCACCUCAAUAGAUAUUCUAGCAAGUCAUUAGCAUGGAAUUAGGACGAACUACAAGAAUAUUUCCUAAGUUAUUCUUAACUUUAAAGUCUAGCAUAUCAUAGUUAGUGCAAUUAUACUUGGCAUUCAUUACGAGAAAGGACUACGCCAUGCAUAGUGAUAUUAUCAAGGAAUAUGAGAAACAUAGCAAUCACUCCCCUAUAAUAAUGUUGCUCUGCCAGCCCUAUACACGAGAGGGGGACUAUAUAAGAAUCAAUGGAGCUGUCACUACCACGAACUACCCCGCGAUCUAACAUAUAGGGUACAAUCGCAGAUAAAUACGGUAUAGACACCACGCCUACACAAUACUUAUCAUUUACCCACUGUACACAUGGAUAAACGCUAUACGAUCCUAAACAUGUAUAUAAUUCCAAUCUAACUAAGCCAAGCAUAUAACUAUGAUAAACUAAGAAUAAUAUAAUUGCAAAUAUAAACAAGUAGAGCAAAGUCAUAAUCAAUAUAUUGAAGUAGAACAAAGUCAUAUUCAUAAUAUUGAAGAACAAAGAUGAACAAUUGAAGAACAUAGAGGACUUACCAAGAAUCCUCUUGACAGAUCUUGAAACCAAUCGAAGAUUGACUCCUUCUAGUUCUAAUCCUACGUAGCUAUGCUAAACUAGAGAUCUAAUUGAUGUGGUGGCUCUAGGGCUUGAUCAGAGGCUUUUUCUCCCAAGAUGAAUAAUGAAUUAGGGUUUCUGAGGGAUAGAGGUCCUCUCCUCCAGGGGCCAGGGGGUCUGCUUAUAUAGUCCUUCCAAGUGAAUAUGGGCCGUCGGAUCAAAUCGACAUUAAUCGCAUGGUUUUACUUGAUCCUUUAGGUCGGUGGAGCAUGAUCCGCGAGAUUGGUUGUGAUUGGCCCCGAGGCCAGGGCGGGCGCCCAACGGGGGAGGGCGGGCGCCCUGCCCUCGAGCACGUCCGGUCUCCCGUUCGUUCUCGUGGCUUCUGGACUCUUCUAGAUGUAGGAUAAUUGUGCGGCACGUACGUUAAUAUCUCUAUGUAAACCCGACAUGUGGGCCUUUCCUCCGUAUUUCCUGAUAACUCCCUGCAGAAAUAGACAAACACCAAAACUCGUGGAAUUUUGUCAAAUAAAACCCUAAGUCUGGGUGUCGAUUGCAUUUGGAUCCUUUUCUUUGUUUAUUUGAUGAUUAUAUUUGAUACUUAAGGACCGUCAACAAACUCCCCUAAGCUUACCUCUUGCUCGUCCCUAAGCAAGGAUAAUCUCAGUGAUGGAUUAGAAGUUGUUGUAAUGCCUUUAAAAGUUGACGGUUCACAUGCUUUUAAAUAAGGUAUCAUCUUUGAGUUACAGUAAAUUGUCAAGACUUAAAACUUAUUCAUUUUACCUUUCACCAUGGGAUUUGUAAGCGUCACUUCUGUCUUGAGCAGUUAAAAGAUAGAACGGUCUAGUUAAGUGUCAUGUCUCUUAUUCUUGAUCAGCUAUAGCUCUAGAAUUUUUGCAAAUUUUCAAAUAAAACUCAGAGAUUCCUUGUAUGACUCUCUCAGCUCUCUCUUUUGUGGUAUUUUUGGAUCCUUACCAAGGCAAUGAUGGUAUAUGCCUUCUCUCAAAAUAUGUGGUAUUUGUGGUAUAAGGCAUAGUGACAUUACCUUUUCUCUCAUCCUACUCUAAUAAGGCUUUGAUAUUUGGAGCUCAUAGUGUGAUGAAUUAUAACCAUGGAUCCAGAGAAACAAGUCAAUAAGUCAAAUCAAGAUGUGCAUGUGUGGCGAAUGAAUGGUGUAUGGUGAUAACAAUAGUGAAAAUCUAAUUCUACUUUUGCUCUUUUGAGGGGAUGCAUACCUUUCUUGCUCUUUUGAAACUUUUUGAGGAGAAUGAGAUGCUCUACAUUUUCUUUUUCUUUCCUCUCAGGUGGGUAUCUUGUACCCCUAAUUCUACUGUCGGACACUUGUCCAUUUUUACCUCUCGUCUUACUUUUUCUUUUCUUUCGAGGUUCCGGGCACUUGCCCCUUUUUAUUUCCUCGUAUCUCUUCUUCUCUUUUUUUUAGAGCACUCAUCUUCUGAAAUAAUAUAGCAAGUGGUAGUAACCAAGAUAACUCGAGCAUUUAUUUCACAGGAAAAGCAGAAAUAAGAGAAUGUUUUUGGCUAUUCUCUCCUAGAUUAGGAGUAGAAUAUUUUUGGGUGGUUCUGGAGAUGGAAAUGAGUGGAUAUAUGUGGAUGCGUACUUCCGAAGUAGAAGCAGCAUGUGUGAGUGAACGUGCAAGUGAAUCUUGAUUUAACCAAAUGACAAGCUCCUCCUAAGGGUCUACACAGCUUGACUAAAAAGUAAAUGUGUGGCUCAAAGUCUUAGCAAGCAUGUAUAUAUGGCUAUGGUAGGAAUUUAAACUCUCAUCAUACAGAAACUCAUCAUGUGUUAUUUUAAAAAUUUUCAAAGAUAAAAUUCUCCAGAUUUCUAGCAUCUCUAAGAACAGAUAAAUAGCAGCUCAACCUUCCCAUAUCAUAUCCGUUAACAACUUAGACUUCAGAUCAAGUUCUCUUCCCACAAGUUCAGAUUUAGAGCGAGCUUUAAAUUAUAACAGUUAUGUCUAAACUAGAGAGAGAACUCAAAUUUGAAAAUUAGGCAGAGCAACUAUUCAUCAUAUCCAUGCUAGAGUUUUAUUAUUAAGAUUCAGUUUAGCAUAGCCACUUUAUUUAUUUAUUAAGCACACUAAGCAAAAGAUAUAUAAGCACAAAAUCUUUAUUUGGUUUUUCAUGGUUAUGUAUAUUUUUAUUUUAAUAUGGUAUAAGUAUAUAGAUAGAUAGAAAUACUUAGCGGAGUAAAUGGGGGUGCUCUCCCCCAAGCUGAAUUUUGACGUUAUUUCUUCUGAUGUAGCUAGCAGGUGGCAGAGGUGUAUUUGAAAGUCGGCAGCACCCUGACAGCGAUUAUAAUGUCCUCCGUCAGCUAGUCUUCUUGAUCCUUGAAUUCUGUGGAGCUUAAAUAGACAACAAAGCUUUGUGGAACUGAUUAAGUGUUAGCAUAAAUAUCUAGCCUUUAUCAUGUUGAGCCUCCUCAAUAAAUAUUACUUUCUAUUUUUAUAUUUUCAUUUUAUAGAGCAGAAAAAAUAUUUAUUUUAUUUUUAUGCCACCACAGUGAAUAUACUUAUGGGUUUUAUGCCACUCGUAUACUCACAUGAGGCUUACUAUUUUUAACAUUUUUAUUUUCUUUUUAGGAUAGUAUGAACAUGAUUAACUAAGUAAACUAUUUUAAAUAAUUGAAAGGAAAAGGAUAACUACCAAGUUUACCUCUUGGCAAGGCGUUCGGUGUUUUUAAGUCCUCCGAAUGGGACUCUCCGUUUUCUCAGUCGUCCUGGGAUUCGCUGGAUGGCGUAGUCGGUGCUACCGGUGGCGCCUCCUCUUCGUGUAUAGUUAUCUUCUCUUUCCAUACCUGACUCGGUGCUACGGUCUCCACUGGAUAAUUCUGUUCAAGCUAUAUGUCUUCAAACCUUACUACUUCUCCUUCAUAGUCUGCCCAUCCGUCCUUGAUGAUUUGCCUCCUCUAGUUGCGGUUGUGUCGUCUUCUUCUUGUCCUGACCUGCUUAGAGUCUUCAACUAUAUAGUUAGGGUCAGUAAAAUAGCGGCAUACCUUCUCUGAGGGGUAGUGCAUGUGGACUUCUCCGGUUCCAAUAUAGAUGAUUGCUUCAACGAUGCUGAGAAACGGUCUCCCAAGGAUGAUGGGUGGAUCGUACUUAUCUUCUCCCAUAUCAAUAACCUGAAAGUCUGUAUGGACAAAAUGAUCGUCUAUUUUGACAGGGACAUCAGUUACUAUACCUUCAACCUUUCGGAAUGUCUGAUCUGCCAUCUGGAGCUGAAUGUAUGUCGUUUUUAGGGGCAUGGUUCCGAACAAGAGCCGAUAGGUGACUGCGGCCAUUAUGUUGACGCCCGACCCGGUGUCGCAAACUGUCUUGUAGAAGUUGUACCCAUUGAUGGAGAAGUGGAUGCUUGGCAUACCUGGGUCGUCCUUCUUGGUCAGAAACGGUGACUUGAGUCGAUGAUCUUGACCUUCUUGAACUGCAGUGACCAUCUUAGCUGACUCGGUCCACACUUGCUUGUUCCUGUUCCUCCUGUUGGUCCUCUUCCUUGGUUCAUGUCGGGAUUGCUCUAGGAUUUGUGUAGUCUUGUUCUUGAAGGAAAACUUCUUCUUUCUCCUCUUGAUGUAGAAACUGAUCUUGGCAGCACUGGCGUAGAUGACAGCUCCUGAGGUGUUCAGGAAUGGCCUCCCUAAGAUGACGGGUGCCCUCUCAUCAUUUCUGGUCUCUAUCACCACGAAGUCUGCUGGGGCGUACAAGGUACCAACUCGGACGCAGAGGUUCUUCAAUAUUCCCUUUGGGAAACUUAACGCCUGAUCUGCAAGCUACAAACACAUGGUUGUUUCUCAUAAAGGAUAUGUAAAGAAUUUUUCAUAGAGUACCCUGGGCAUAAUGUUGACGCUAGAGCCAAAGUCACAGAGUGCUUCUGGGAAGUCCACCAUGCCGAUGGAGAUCGGGAUGAUGGGGCGUCCUGGAUCGCCUCUCUUGACCGGCAGAAGGUUAGUAGUAACUUCUCUGAUGAGGUUACUCCAGUAGUUACCUGUAUCAAACAUGUCUACAAGAUUUGUAGAUUCUAAUCCUUCCGAUUGUGAUGGUAUACUGGGGUUAGUAGCAGGAACAGCAGCAGCUAUUUGAUUUAACGGAGAUUCGAUCAUUUUAUUAAAGCUAAUUUGAUUCUUGAUGGCAGUAGAGAAAUUAUCCAUUCUAUUAUUUAUAUUUUCUAGCAUUUUAUCAUUUGAUGCCAAUUUCUUAGAUAGGUUAUCCAUUAGCUUUCUUUGAUUAGACACUAACUCUCUCAGAGGUGAAAAAUUAUUAUUAUUAUUGAAAGAAUUGUUACCUUUAUAAUUACCUGAGUAGUUAGGCCUCUAUUGAUUCCAACCUUGAUUUUGUUGAGGACGGUUGUAGUAGUUGUUGUUGUUGAUGUAGUUCACAUCCUCAAGCAUCUCAGGGCAGUGAUUGCCUGAGUGUCCAGUAUCUCCACACUCCUCACAAGUCAUGUGAGAGUCGUAGACGUGCAUAACUUCUUUCUUAUCUCUAGCUCUAUCAUCGAGCUUCUUCAUGAGCAGGUCUAGCUUGGUAGACAGCAUGUCUACCUCCUUGAGCUGAUGCAUACCUCCACCUCUCUUGCGUGUCUGGGUCCUUUCUUCAUUCCAGCCUUGGUUGGAUGCCGUCUUCUCCACAAGAGUUGUGGCUUCUGAAAUGGUGAGUGAUAGGAAUGCUCCUCCAGCUGCAGCAUCCAUGGUCUCACGAGCACUAUUGCCGAGCCCAUGAUAAAACGUGUGCAUCAGUAGGCAGCUCUCCAUUCCAUGAUGGGGACAUUCUAGGAUGUAGUCUUAGAAGCGCUCCCAUGCUUCUGGAACGGAUUCAUCAUGUUGUUGCUGAAAACUUGUAAUUUUCCCACGGAGAGCAUUGGUCUUGCCCAUGGUAAAGAACUUAGCCAGAAAGUUCAUGGAGCAGAGUGCCCUCGUAGUAUUCUUCUCCUUUGUAGCGUAGAACCACUGCUUCGCUCUCCCCAACAGUGAGAAUGGGAAGAGGCGAAGUUGUAUAGCAUCUCUGGGGACUCCUGAUAUGGUGAAUGUGCUGCAAAUCUCUAGGAAGUGUUGGAGAUGAGCACUAGCAUCUUCGUGUGCCUUUCCACAGAACUGGUUGGAUCGCACCAUGUUGAUAAGUCCAGGUUUGAGCUCAAAGUUGCCGUCGAUCUCUGCAGCAGGUCCAGUAGGGAUGUUGUCCAUAGAGGGAGCUGAGAACUCACGGAACAAUUUGUUCGCCAUGACUUCGAACUCUGAAGAUAAGUUCCGGGUGAAACUUCAGUGAUCUUCUUGAUUGGAUGAAGCUUCGUGCUGAAGUGUUGAUGAUCUCUUCUUGAGCUUGGCUCUUGUUUUUCUGAAUAACACUUCGGGAUUGUCAACAAAAUUUCCUAGAAGAUGUCUUCUAUUCAUACAUUACCCUACAUAAAAUAAAAUAGAAAAAUAUUGGGGUAAAACUGUAUAAGAGAAUUGAUAAUCUCAAUCAUAUUAGUGAUGCGAAUGAUGACUCAGAAUUCCAUAUUCAUUCCUGAUUAGUAAUCAACCUUCCCCGGUAACGGCGCCAAAAAUGCUUGUUGGGCAUUCUUAACGUCACUACCAAAAGUAGACUUAGUUUUCUAAUUCUGAGCGCCAAAAAUGCCAAACCUAUCCCUCAUGCUACUUAAGCCAAGUUGUCAUCCCCAGCAUGACAUGAGAGACGCAGUAUUGAAAUAUGCAAUUGCUCUUCUAAAUAAAUAAUAACUGAGAUCUGCAAGCGCACAGAUUAAUACCGAUGUAGCAUUUUAACCAGAAAGUAUUCCAGAUAUCGUUAUUUAUAUUUUUACACUAGGAAGGGAUUGCUAAACAUCAAUGUUGAUUAUGGAAUGGAAUAUAUAAUUGAGUAUCUAUCAUCGCAUGUAUAAUUGAGAGCAUUUAUCUAUCUCUUUCAUAUAGGGAUAAGUGUCACAUAAAAGAUAGAUAAAGUAUGAAUGGUGACAAAGAUAAUUAAUCUGAUCAGCAUAACUUAGCCACAUAUAAUAAUGAUAAGCACCACAAUAGAUAUUCUAGCAAGUCAUUAGCAUGGAAUUAGGACGAACUACAAGAAUAUUUCCUAAGUUAUUCUUAACAAUAAAGUCUAGUAUAUCAUAGUUAGUGCAAUUAUACUUGGCAAUCAUUGCGAGACAGGACUACGCCCAUGCAUAGUGAUAUAAUCAAGGAAUGUGGGAAACAUAGCAAUUACUCCCUUGUAAUAAUGUUGCUCUGCCAGCCCUAUACACGAGAGGGGGACUAUAUAAGAAUCAAUGGAGCUGUCACUACCACGAACUACCCCGCGAUCUGGCAUAUAGGGUACAAUCGCAGAUAAAUACGGUAUAGGCACCACGCCUACACAAUACUUAUCAUUUACCCACUGUAUGCAUGGAUAAACGCUAUACGAUCCUAAACAUGUAUAUAAUCCAGUCUAACUAAGCCAAGCAUAUAACUAUGAUAAACUAAGAACAAUAUAAUUGCAAAUAUAAACAAGUAGAGCAAAUUCAUAAUCAAUAUAUUGAAGUAGAACAAAGUCAUAUUCAUAAUAUUGAAGAACAAAGAUGAACAAUUAAAGAACAAUAGAGGAAUUACCAAGAAUUCUCUUGACAGAUCCGGAAACUAAUCGAAGAUUGACUCCUUCUAGUUCUAAUCCUAUGUAGCUAUGCUAAACUAGAGAUCUAAUUGAUGUGGUGGCUCUAGGGCUUGAUCAGAGGCUUCUUCUCCCAAGAUGAAUAAUGAAUUAGGGUUUCUGAGGGAUAGAGGUCCUCUCCUCCAGGGGCCAGGGGGUCUGCUUAUAUAGUCCUUCCAAGUGAAUAUGGGUCGUCGGAUCAAACCAACAUUAAUCGCACGGUUUUCCUUGAUCCUUUAGGUCGGUGGAGCAUGAUCCGCGAGAUUGGUUGUGAUUGGCCCCGAGGCCAGGGCGGGCGCCCUGCCCCCGAGCCCGUCCGGUCUCCCGUUCGUUCCCGUGGCUUCUGGACUCUUCUAGAUGUAGGAUAAUUGCGCGGCACGUUAAUAUCUCUAUGUAAACCCGACAUGUGGGCCUUUCCUCUGUAUUUCUUGAUAACCCCCUGCAGAAAUAGACAAACACCAAAACUCGUGGAAUUCUGUCAAAUAAAACCCUAAGUCGUGGUGUGGAUUGCAUUUGGAUCCUUUUCUUUGUUUAUUUGAUGAUUAAAUUUGAUACUUAAGGACCGUCAACACUAGGUUGAAAAACUUUUAUCCGGUAGCUCUCUAGAACACACUUAGGCACACGGGUUGAAUUGAGGCUUAUAGGUUGCUUAAAUUUUUGGAGAAGCCUAGUUCACCCCCCUCUUGGGCAUCUUGGUCCUUUCAAUGAGGAAUUGAAGGCAACUCAACCCGCACAGGUUUGUCGUCUCACGUUCCCUCCCUCCCCUUCAUCCCGCUUGGAUCCCCUAUCAUCUCCAGUGAUUCUCGGUGAGAUUUCAUGGAUUGAACAUAGUGUUUUGUGCGCAGAGAAGGGGCUCAGUGAGGAAUCAAAGGUAGCUGUCCUAGUUCUUCUCUGUUAAAUUGCAGGUGUGUGUUAUCUGCAUGGUGUUUUUUCUACCAAUUUUUUGCUUUUUUAAGAUUGUGAGGGGAGUUCAGGUCGUCCUGACCUAGGAUUUUUUUUGUUGACAUGUGUAGGUUAUUUACCACCUUGCUACAGCAAGCCCCUUUUGUUUUCUGAGCUGAGCAUGAGGUGGUGUGUGAUGCGGAUCUGGCCCAACAGAUCAAGGUGAUUAGUUACUGAACUGCAUUGGGAAUAAGCAACUAAACAUACUCUGCCCAGGCAAUAUUGUGGCAAAGUAAAGGCAAAAUAAUUUAAAUCACUAGGUAGUUUCUUUACAUCAUUGUUCUAUAAUUCAAGGUCAUUAGUACUGAGCAACAUGUUGUUCAAUCCUUGCACUUUAGGACUCCAAAUGAGCCAAAGUACUUUUUGAAGUGUGUUGUCAGACAUGGCUGAUGAUUGAGCAUAACCAACCUGAAAUCCUGUCUACAUCAGACUUUUUUUAAAAAAAAUUGUGAUGUGAAUUACACAAUGUGAAUUGACAUAAGCUAGAUUGCAGUGAAGGGAUGUUGUAGUGAUAAAAGAAGAGCAUACUAUAAGGAGGCGGUGGUAAAGGCCUCCUUAUAUAUAUGAUAUAUAAAGCCUGAAGCAACCUAGAAUUUUUUGCAGUUAGGAUAUGACCAUGGCUAAUCAUGUUGGCAGCUAGAGUGACCAUGGUUAAUUAAGACAUUAUUAUUUUUGACCGACCAGGUGGUAUGGUGGCAGCUAUAUAGGAUAUGUACCUUUUUUCACCAAUUUUUGAUGUCUAUUGAAUACUAAGGAGGCAGCGGUAAAUUAAGUGGACCACUGUACACUAAUUUGACUUGCAGGUCCAAAAUUUUAUCACGAAUUGAUCUUCGGUCAUCUGAACAUAAUUAGUAAUGAGGGAAGAAGCAAAAUAAGAAGCCCCUCAUUCAUUCGUUCAACCUAUUCUUUUUACAGUAGAAAUCUUGACUGUACUGUAUAAGUACGUAACUGUCGGUUGGUGAAUCCAUUGAUUUAAAUCGACGAUCAAGUAAAAGGAAACGAAGUACAGUUUUCAGUUCAGCGGGUUCUUACUGCAUGCAUGCCUGUCUUACUGCAUGCAUGCCUGACUGUAACUGUUGGUUGGUGAAAACAAAAACAAACAAGCUGAUAUUACCCAUUAAGAGCAUCUCCAAGGGCCUCUCCAAAUCAGUUUUGCAUUUGAGGUUAUUUGCAAAGUCUCAAAAGAAAAUGCAAAGCCUAAAAAGAUGCCUAUUCCAAGGGCCUUUGCAAAAUUGACUUGGCAUUCUCAAUUUGGACCCGGCAGCGUUUUUUUAUUUUUGGCGCGGUGCUUGGCGUUUCGUGCAUCCUCGCCGCCGUCGUGUUUGUCGCGGAAAAAACAAACAGGGCGCCGCGAAGUUCCAGGUUGAGUUCGCCGCCGGUUGUUGCCGUCCCGUCUCCCGUGGUCGUCGUCGAGAUCGUCCCGGUUCCAGUUCGUCCCAGUUGCAGUUCCAGUUCGUCCCGAAGUUCAUCAAGACAUCGCGAAGUUCCAGUUCGUCCCAGGUCGCUGCUGCCUUCGACGGCUUCUAGAUCGAAGUUGCUGCUGGUGACGAUGCCGCCGCCGACUCCAUCAAACAGGCUUACACUGCGGCUCGCCAAGGUUUGUUGUGCGUGAAUUCUUGUGUCCGUCCAUUAAUUUUUUGUAUUUUGUUCAAUGUUGUGAGGCGUGUAAUUGUUCUCAGCUGCGGCGGAAGAGGGCUUCCAGAUCACGUCUCCGGAGACAAUUGGAUGACGAGUCUUCAGAAGACGAUGAUUUUUUUAUGUGCGCAGCUGCUCGGAUUUUGCACAAAUAUUCUAGUAAAAAACAAAGACAUGUUGGUUCGGUCCCUGGGCAUGCUGUCAUUCAUCGCGAUAGAGAAGGCGGCCACCAGAGGAUGUAUCUGGAUUAUUUGGUGGAUAAUCCUACCUAUGGUCCAGAUUUAUUCCGUCGUAGGUUGUUGUUCUUUCACAUUAGAUAAUUUCAUAUUAUUUGAAUUUUUUUGUCAAUGUGUUGAACUAUUAUUUGUUGUUUUCAGAUUCAGAAUGAGGAAGCCCCUUUUCCUACGCAUCAUGAGAGUUGUUGAAGAACACGAUCAUUACUUUGUGCAAAAAAGGGAUGCGGCAGGUAAAAAGGGUCGAAUGCUCACAUAUGGGGUUUCUGCUGAUGCCACGUAUGAGUAUAUUCGCAUUGGCGAAAGCACCGCUCUCGAGAGCCUACAUAAGUUUGUUACUGCAAUUGUAUAAAUUUUUGAGGCAGAAUAUCUGAGACACCCCACUGAGGCUGACAUAGCACACUUGCUAGCGGUCAAUGAGAAAAGAGGCACUGGUACAGGACAGGCCUUUUGUCCCGGUCGAAAACAACUUGUAGUCCCGGGUGGCGAGCCGGGACUAAGGGAUCGGGACUAAAAGUCCCACCUUUAGUCCCGGCUCUCCAACCCGGGACUAAAUGGGGACAUUUAGUCCCGGUUGGUAAUACCAACCGAGACUACAAGGGGCACCAGGCAGUGACGUGGCGCCACCCCUGGCCACCCCUUUUAGUCCCGGUUGGUAUUAUCAACCGGACUAAAGGUUUUUUUUUUGUUUUUCUUUUUCAUUUCUUUAUUGAUUUUGGUUUUCAAUUGUAUAUGUUCUCCAAUUUAAUCGUAUACGCCGCAAUUAUCCGUAUACGUUGCACCUAUACGAGAGCGUCAUUAUUGCACACAAAUAAAGUAUGAAACUACAUAUAUAUAUUAUCCGUAUAAUAUAUAUAUCUAUAUAUAUUAUAUAGCUAUACACAUAUGUACAUACACAUUACAUUUACAAUAAUAAUAUUAUGUACAAGUAAUAAUCAAGUGUGCUGCCACCGGUUAAUGAUUACAUAAUGUUUGCCUGCCCACUCAAAGCUCAUACAAGUGUUCGUCCUUGUUUGGAAUGGGCUUGAAGCCCUGCGGGUAUAAGUGGAACUCGCCGUCUUCCGGAAUGACAUGAUCGUUGAUAAAUCCGGCGAUCGUCUCCUAGACUCCAAGGAGUAAUGUGUACUCGAACACUUUAUCUUUCAUAUUCCACUCCUUCCAUUUGCAUUAGUUAAAAAAGAUAUUAAUAUACAUAAAAUCUAUUUAGUUUCAACAAAUAAAUAAGAUACGAAUUUACUGUAUACACAUGCAUGUUACUUACUUUUAGAACACUUUGAGCAGGUUUAAAUAGGGUGCACCGCAUAAAUUCACAAACAUAGUAUCCACAUAGAUUCGUUCCAAACGGUUGCAUGGGCACCCAAGGGAGUAGAACAGGAGGAGGAAGUGACACAUUCAGAUCCGUACGAUAUUUUUGUUGUAGCCAAGCCCAAGCCCUGCCCAAUAAGACGCUUGUUGAUUAGGUAUAGCUAGCAUAAUAAAGUAAAGGAGCACGCAUCGAUAUUUAAAGUAUGAUAUAUACUUACCUCUGGAUCAUGUCUAUUAUGUCUUGAUAGAGUGCCAGGUCUUUUUUCAUUGAGUCCCACACAUGUAUUCUUUGUUCCGUGAUCUUAAUCUCAAUGAGUAUCCAAUGAUCUCUGCAGUUGUUUAGAGUCAACUUAUAUAUGUAUAUCUUAAUGCCGGAUUAACUAAGACAUGAUAUAACACAACACUUACCCCAUAUUGUAAGGGAAGAGUAUCUUCUCUGUAUGCCUUUGGUUAUAAAAGAACCUCCGGAGGUUCUUCUCCAUUUUCUUAAGCUUCAGAUUCAAUGGAUCUUUAGUUUUAGUGUCCUUGUACACGACAUAUGGAUCGAUGAAACCAAUUCGAUUGUAUUUUUUCAAUCUUUAUUCUCUCAUCAUGUGUCUGCAUAUCGUGAGCGUAGUUAUUACGAAUACAUACAUAUGCUAUAAUGGGAUUAAUGAUUGAAAGGAAGAAUCACUUACAGACAGCAGCAGCUCAUGAGGGAUUUGUCGAGAGCAUUCAUAUGGAGAAGUUGGUGUACUUCACUAAAAUCUAUCCAUAUAACGUCAUCUCCACGGAAGUAGUGUCGGUCGCGGACUCGGACGGCAAUCAAUUCUUCUUCUAUAUGUUUUGAGCUGACUCUCAAGUAGUACUCGUGCAGCUUGUAUAUUUGUGUACCAAGCCCUCGUACCUUCUCAGGGUGGCACAUACUCCUGCCGUAAAUGUACCGACUCUGAUAGUCAUCGACACCUCCGUGGAUUGGCGCAUCGGUACGCCCUAGAAGUGCUUCUAGGGGCAGCCCAAUUUCUUCCAUCCAAUUCCCGAGCUCAUCUAAGUCCACAUUAGCAGGUAUAGUCAUUGCCAGCAAGUUGGCGUUUGAACCGUACUCAUUCGCAACCACUAGUGGCUGAACUGAUUGUUGCGCUUGUUCGCCGAGCUGUGCAACUUUUUGCUAGACUUUUCUUUUGUCUACCUUGAUUUUCUUUAGGACAGCACGGUCGUAGUCUGAUAUUGUUGACCCUGGUUGUUUACUCGCAGCACGGUUCGCGUGUGUCAUUUUCUGCACCACUUGAUGUAGCUUUGAGCGAGGAUACAUUAGGUAUGGCGGCUCUUUCUCUGCUUUUCUAUUAGCUUUGUAUUUUUCAAAGAAUGCUUUGACUUCCGCUUUGCUUGUAGCAAGCACUUCCUCAUCGGUCUUCUCAUAUGAAAGCUUGGUCGUCUUCGGGAUCUUCGUGUUCAAAGCUUUCCUCUUUGCCGCAGGUGGUUGGAGUGAUCUCUGUGUCUCGGCGGACGACCUCUUCCUCCUCGAUGCAGCACCAGCCGGUGCCGAUGAGGCGGCGGCCGUUGUCGUCGGCAUUGGCGGAGGCAGCGGCGCAGGUAGAGCUUGCUGUUGUGGAGGAGAUUCGACCGCGGGCGGCGUUGGAUUCCUUCGUGGAGGAGAUGCGGCGGCCGGUGGUGGGGAUGCGGCCUUCUCUUGUACGUCGUCGUCGUCGUGUCCCACGGCACUGGGGUCAUGCGGUGAAUGGACAGACAGACUUCGGUGGGGGCAGGCCCUGGAUUUGAAGAAAAACAAAUAAGGUAUAUGUAUACAUGACUAAAUGUAAUUUGAUACAGUAUAUAAUUAUAGAAAAAGCAGUAGCGUCCACAAUAAUUCGCACCUGCUAGGGUUUGGUUGUGGCGGCGGCACCCUAGGAAUAAUGAUGUACCGUUUCCUUCAAUAUAUGAAUGUCUUCUCCGCUUCACCAAGUGUCUUCUCUCCAUCACCGCCUUCGAUAUCGAGAGGCACAUUUUCACGGCCUCUGACCACUUUAUCCACCGAGACACAAGCAUAUCCGGCUGGUAUUGGGACAGAGUGGAUCGUUGGUGUCUUGGUGGGGUCGAUAGGAGAUACGACACCGGUAGCCACCUUUACUGUGCCAUCGCCCUCCGGAAUAUGGAGCUCACAAGACGUCAACGGAGUGGUGACGUCAUCCACCGGGAAUCGCAGCCCUACGUCAUCAACUUGCCUCGCAGGCGCCUCCGUAGAAGCACAACUGCUCUUUAGAUGAGCUGAGCAAGGGCUGAUGUUGGCGGCCGAUGGCUGUGAUAAGCUUUGGAGGUGGGAAGUUACAGCUUCCUCCAUGGCCUUUUGGAUUUUCUCAUCCAUUGUGGCCUUCAGCGCUUGCUCCCGCUCAAGGGCCCGUUGAGCCACUUCUUGGGUCUUUAUGAGUCCUUCCUCCAAUAUGCGUAUCCGUUCCUUGUCCUCUUCCUUCUUUCUCUGGCGGCUUCUAUAAGUUUCCCUAUCAGCAGGGAAGGCAUGUUCCCACGACACGGUGCCAUAGCCUCUUGUCCGUCCACCGUGCUCAGGGUUCCCCAGGGCGAAUGUCAACUCAUCUUUAUCUCUAUUCGGCUGCCAUUCUCCACUUUCAGCGAUGGAGCGGGCUUGAUGGAAUCUUUCCGCAACAGCUUGGAUGCGUUCCUCAUACACGACCUUUCCGGUCUCAAGGUCCAGUGAGCCUCCGUGAGCGAAAAACCAGUGCUUCGCAUGCUCAGGCCACUCGAGGGAUUCGGGCACCAACCCCCUGUCGAUUAACUCUUUUUCGGCCUUUUCCCACUUAGGAACUGCGGUUUGGUAGCCACCUAAUCCCAUCGUGUGGUGGUAGGUCUUGCGUCGGGCAUUCUCUUGGUUCUUUCUAACCCGUUCCUGAGCCACUUCGAACAUCUUGAACCGUACAAAGUCGUCCCAAAACGGCCGUAGCUUCGCAUAGUUCGGAGAGUUGAAAUCUAGAGUCAUGUUUUUCUUGAUGUAGUCUUGAUAUAGACGCUUCUUAUAGCCCUGGAACAUUGGUGCCAUCUUCUUCAUAGACCAAUCUCGGACUCUUUCCUUCAACUGUUCAUCGUUUGUCUCCAGUGUAAAAUGUUGCAAGACAUCACCCCAGAGUAGCUCCUUGUCACGUAUAGAGACAUAACUGAUUUCUAGAUGUUUCUUGUUCUCCUUCCAUUCACGGACACUGCUGGGAUCCUAUCCCAGACAAGGUACCCUAAGUGGUUCACGAAGGCCCUUGAAUGGGGUCCAAGUGGCUUGCCUCUUGCUUCCUCGAAUUCUGAGAUUACUAACCGGCCCUCCAUAGGCUUCUUUGGGCCUCGUACUCUCCGGCUGGUCCCCGUGGUUGUCGUCGAGCCAGAGGGCUAUGUAGAAAGAAAAAAGACAAUUUAAUACAAGAUAUUAUUUCGAAUUAUAUCUGUAAAAACAAAGGAGACUGCCAUAUUACAGACCUGCUGGCCAGCAUUGUCUUGCUCAUUCGGGUCGACCAAAUACUGAGAGCAGUCAUCGAUUCCCUCAGGGUUCUCAUCGCCUUCGCGAUCAUCGUGAUAAACUUCUUCAGUGGGACCGCAGAUCAGGUUUAUCAUUUCCUCUUCAUGUUCUCUCGGAUCGGCCAUUUCUGCACAAAUAUGUGACACAUCACUACUAGCACUACUGUGUAUACUUGACAAGGAAACAAUAUAUAAAACUAGGGUUUAGGGUUUAGGGCUUAGGGCUUAGGGCUUAGAACAUCACUAAAUACAUCACAGAACACUAUAUGUAUACUAUGUGAACAUCGCUAAAAUAUGUUAUAGAACAUCAAAUAUAUAUUACGUGAAAAAAACUAAAUACACCAUAGAACAUCACUAAUUACAUUAAAGAACAUCGUAUAUAUAUUACAUGAAAAUAAAUAAGAAAUUGGUACUAUAAUAUACAUGAAAAUAAAUAAAUAUAUAUAAAUUUGAGCAGAGGCAAUAUUCUAGAUUUAUAAGAAAUUGGUGACACAUGACUACUAGCACUAUUGUGUAUACCUGACAAGGAAACAAUAUAUAAAACUAGGGUUUACAACUUUGGGUUUUCCGCAACAGUUUACGGCUAAGGGUUUGGGGUUUACGGCUUAGGUUUCAAGGUUUAGGUUUUAUGGCUUAGGGUUUACAUCAUUUGCUAAAAAAAGUGGCAUGAUCUGAACCGGUCACAAAUAUGUGUGAGAGAGAGAGUAUAUGUGUUUAGGGCUUAGGGUUUAGGGUUUAGGGUUUAGGGGUUAGGGUUCAGGGGUUAGGGUUUAGGGUUUAGGGGUCAGGGGUUAUGGUUCAGGGUUUAGGGCUUAGGGCUUAGGUUUAGGGUUUAGUGUAUAUCAUUUGCUAAUAAUUAAAUAUAUCAUAAUUGUACCACUAAUUUAAACUACUAAUUGUACCACUAAUUAUAGCACUAAUAAUUGUACCACUAAUAGAUCCAUCUCGACAUACCUGUAGUUUGAAGGCGGUAAGACGGCGGAGAGACGGCGGUCGGUGCGGAGACUUGACGGGGACUUCGGUGACGACGGCAGAUAUACGUCGAUCUGGAAGAAGGAAGAAAUAGGGAACAAAUAUUAUAUCACAUUUACAUAUUGUGUCACAUGCAUGAAGCACUAAAUAUAGACAAAAAACAAAAACUAAUAGCAUAGUAUGUCUGUAAUUUACAAGAUAAAUCUUUUAAGCUUAGUUAGUUUAUAAUUGGACAAUAUUUGCUACAAACAAACUAAAAUGCUACGGUACCAAAAUGCUAUAGUGUGAAAUACAAAAUUUUUUGGAACUAAACAACGCCUGCACAUUUUUUUAAGGCAAAUUUUUUUGAAAAGACAAUAUUUUUUUAGGCCUAGGGCCUUGUUUACUUCCAAAAAAUUUUGCAAAGUAGGAAUAGUAGCAUUUUCGUUUGUAUUUGACAAAUAUUGUCCAAUUAUGGACUAACUAGGCUCAAAAGAUUCAUCUCGUCAAUUUCGACCAAACUGUGCAAUUAGUUUUUAUUUUUAUCUAUAUUUAAUACUCCAUGCAUACGUCUAAAGGUUCGAUGUGACGGGGAAUCUGAAAAAUUUUGCAAAAUUUUUGAGAAACUAAACAAGGCCCUAAACAAGGCCUGCUGCAGGCACGCGCGGGGGGCCGGGCUCGGCCGCCGGUGGGGGCGCGCGUGGCCGCGCGGCCGACCGCGUACGGCCCGGGCCAUUGACCCCCGUCGGCGGCCGUUGUCGCCGGGCCCAGAGGGCGCAGGCCGCCCGUGACUGCAGCGGGCCGGCGAGCGCUCUGGCUCGAUCGCGGGGCGGCGGGCGCGCGUGAGAGAGGAAAAGAGAGAGGGAGUAGUGGCGGCGGGGGCGCGGUGUACGACGGAGGUUGGCUCGGGGGCGCGGCGGGGGCGCGUCGUACGACGGCGCUCGGAGCGGCGGCAACGACGACGUCGUGGACGAAGAGAAGACAACGGCGGCGGUUAGGGCUAGAUCUGGCGCGGUGGGGAAGGAGAAGAAAGGGCUCUGCCCUUUAUAGGGCAGGGCACCUUUAGUCCCAGGCCGUGCCACCGCCUGGGACUAAAGGGUCUUUAACCCCGGUUCCAGGCUGGAACCGGGACUAAAGGUCUAGGUAGUCCCGGUUCCAGCCUGGAACCGGAGCUAAAGACCCUUUAGUCCCGAGCGGUGGCACGGCCCGGGAUUAAAGGUGUUUCACCAAAUUAUGGCGCCAGUUCAGGCGCCAUAAUUUUGUUUUCCCUUUUUUAUUUUCCCUUUACAUUGUUAAAUGCAUUAUAAAUUAAAUAAAUCUGAUAAAAUUGUUAAAAAAUACACAUUAAUUUUAUUCUGCUCUACUCUUGAGUAUAAAAAUUCUUAACACAAUUGCUUUUUAAAUAUUUCAUAUUAUUCAAAAUAAAUGUUAUUCAUAAUGAAUAUUGUGUUAAUGCAAAAAUAUAAUGACCAAUUAAAUUUUAAAAAAUUGUUGGCUUUAAACAGAUACUUUGUUUUUGGGUCAUUUGGACGUUAAACUUUUGUUUCUUUAGUAAUAAUUAUACAAAUGCGCGACAUUGAUUGUAUAAAUUUGAAAUUUAAAUUUUCAAAAGUUGUAAGAUGUAUUUUGGAACCCUGGAUGGCCUCAAAUGGAAAACUCAUGAAUACAAAGUUUAUUCCACUCAUCAAGACCUACAUUUUCUCUAGUGGUCACAUUUUCAUUUGAAAAAGUUUAGACCACUCAAUUUUGAAAUUUGAAAGAAUUCAUAGCGAAACGCUAACUUUCAGAACCAUGGAUGGCCUUAAAUGGAAAACUCAUGAAUACCAAUAUUGCUCCACUCAUCAAGAUCUACAUUUCAUAUAUAGACUAUUUUUGCAUUUGACAAAGUGUUGGCAAAGUGUAGUUCAAAAUCCACACUUCCCAUGUAUAGUUUCAUAAAGUUUGUGUGAGAUUCAAGAUUUGGUGAGUAUUGUUUACAUAAACUUUCCCAAAUGGAAAAAUGGUCUAUAUAAAAAGUUUAGAUAUUGAUGAGCUCUAACAACUUGGUAUUCAAAAGAUUUCCAUUCCAAGUCAUUUUCUUCGUCGUUUGACCAAGUUUGACCAAAGCCCGUCUUCGAAUUUGAAAACAUGUGCCUCGGACUCGAUCAAAUUUAUCCGAAUGAAAAUAUGAUCCAUAUUUGAAAUGUAGGUCUUGAUGAGACCUAACAACUUGGCAUUCAAAAGUUUUCCAUUUGAAGUACUCAGGCGGGUCAUUUGACCAAGUUUGACCAAAGUCAAAAUAGUAGGUUUCACAAACACACACUUUGACCGAGCCCUGGAUGGCCUCAAAUAGAAAACUCAUGAAUACAAAGUUUGUUCCACUCAUCAAGACCUACAUUUUCUCUAGUGGUCACAUUUUCAUUUGAAAAAGUUUAGACCACUCAAUUUUGAAAUUUGAAAGAAUUCAUAGCGAAACGCUAAUUUUUAGAACCAUGGAUGGCCUCAAAUGGAAAACUCAUGAAUACCAAUAUUUCUCCACUUAUCAAGAUCUACAUUUCAUAUAUAGACCAUUUUUGCAUUUGACAAAGUGCUGGCAAAGUGUAGUUCAAAAUCCACACUUCCCACGUAUAGUUUCAUAAAGUUUGUGUGAGAUUCAAGAUUUGGUGAGUAUUGUUUACAUAAACUUUCCCAAAUAGAAAAAUGGUCUAUAUAAAAAGUUUGGAUAUUGAUGAGCUCUAACAACUUGUUAUUCAAAAGAUUUCCAUUUGAAGUACUCAGAUGGGUCACUUGACCAAGUUUGACCAAACUUGGGAAUACCAAUAGUUCAAAAUCCACAUCAAGAUGUUACAAUUAUAUUACACAUAAUGUUACAAUUAUAUUACACAAGAUUUCAAGUACAAAUCACUACCAUUAUCAAGCUAGCACAGUGGUAAACUUUUUCUUAACAUAAUGCCCUUGGUUAUGAUCAUUCCGUAACCAUGGAGUGUCCUCUGCAGCGAGCAUGAUGCUUGGGUCUUUAGCCACACAGAAGGGUGGGAUCCGUUCAUCCUUUUCAUAAUCCUCUGACACGUCUGACUUGUCUUCAAUUCCCAUGAUGUUUCUUUUCCCUGUAAGAACGAUGUGUCGCUUUGGCUCAUUGGUGUUUUUCUCGUCUUGUUUCCCUGUCUUAGGUUUUGUAGACAUGUCUUUCACAUAGAACACCUGAUUCACCUUAGUACCGAGGACGAAUGGAUCAUUUGUAUAUCCAAUAUUGUUGAGGUCCACUGUUGUCAUUCCGUACUCCUUAUCGACUGAUACCCCGCCUUUCAUCUUCACCCAUUGGCAUCGGAAUAAAGGGACUUUAAAAUUAUGUGCAUAGUCUAGUUCCCAAAUCUCCUCUAUACGACCAUAAUAUGUGUGCCGGUCCCCAUUUGUGUCCGUGGCAUCCACACGGACACCACUGUUUUGGUUGGUACUCUUUUUAUCUUGUGAUACGGUGUAAAAUGUAUUUCCAUUUAUCUCGUACCCUUUCUAUGUGAGGACGUGCCAUGCUAGUUGCCUAGCCAACAAAUAAAGUUCAUCUCCAAUAUCUUUAUCACCCUGGCAUUUUUUCGCAACCAGUCACCGAAUGUUUCCAUGUGAUGACGCGUAACCCAAGUCUCAUUCUUUCCAGGAUUCUCGGAUCGUACAAAAUCCAUGUGUUCCUCAAUAUAGGGUUCCACCACAAUGGAGUUUCGAAGGACUGUGUAGUGCGCUUUAUUGAAUAAAUCAUCACCCUGGCUGAUAUAUGUUUUCUUUCCUAGUGUACCCUUUCCACCGAGUCUCCCCUCAUACCUUGAUUCAGGAAGACCAAUCGGGUCAAGAUCAGGAAUAAAGUCCACACAAAACUCAAUGACCUCCUCUGUCCCGUAUCCCUUGAUGAUGCUUCCUUCUGGCCGACCCCGCUGGUGAACAUAUUUUUUCAGUACACCCAUAAAUCUCUCUAAGGGAAACAUGUUGUGUAUGAAGACAGGACCCAAAAUAUGAAUCUCUUUGACCAGAAGAACUAGGAGAUGUGUCAUGAUAUCAAAGAAAGAUGGAGGAAACACCAACUCAAAGCUGACAAGACAUUGAACCACAUUGUUCUGUAGAGUAGCUAGAUCAAGAGGAUUGAUUGCCUUCUGAGAAAUUGCAUUGAGGAAUGCACACAACUUCACGGUGGCCAGACGUACAUGUGGAGGUAGAAUUCCUCUUAAGACAACCGGAGGCAGUUGUGUCAUAAUCACGUGGCAGUCGUGCGAUUUUAAGUUGACAAAUUUUUUCUCUGGCACAUUUAUUAUACGCUUUAUGUUGGAGGAGAACCCAGAUGGGACCUUGAUGCUGCUUAGGCACUCAAACAUGAUUUUCUUCUCCUCAUUGCUAAGAGUGUAGCUAGCAGGUCUUAAAUACUAGCGUCCAUCAUCUGUCUGCUCUGGAUGCAGGUUGUCUCGUUCUUUCAUGCGCUUUAAGUCCUCUGGAGCCUCAAGGGUAUCCUUAGGCUUUCCAAACACACCCAUAAACCCUAGGAGAUUGACACAAAGAUUCUUCGUCAGGUGCAUCACGUCGAUGGAGUGGCGGACCUCAAGGUGUUUCAAAUAUGGUAGCUCCCAAAAUAUUGACUUUUUCUUCCACAUUGGGGCACGCCCUGAAGCGUCUUUCGGAACAGGUUCACUGCCUUCUCCCUUUCCAAACACUACUUUCAAAUCUUUGACCAUCUCGAAUACCUCUGCCCCAUCUCGGUUGCCUGGCUUGGACCGGUGUUCUGCCGUACCUUUAAAAUGUUUGCCUUUCUUUCUCAACUGGUGGUUCUUAGCAAGAAAUCGACGAUGGCCAAGGUACACGACCUUUUGGCAUUUUUUCAAAUAGAUAGCUUGAAGGUCACCAAAGCAAUGGGUGCAAGCAUUAUAUCCCUUGUUUGUCUGUCCUGAAAGAUUACUUAGAGCUGGCCAAUCAUUGAUUGUUACGAACAACAAUGCUCGUAGGUCGAAUGCUUCCUGUUUGUACUCAUCCCACAUACGCACACCUGGUUUGCUUCAUAGAAGCUGGAGUUCCUCAACCAAUUGCCUCAGGUAAACAUCGAUGUCGUUGCCAGGUUGCUUCGGACCUUGGAUGAGCACCAGCAUCAUAAUGAACUUCCGCUUCAUGCAUAACCAUGGAGGAAGGUUGUAGAUACAUAGAGUAAUGGGCCAAGUGCUAUGACUAGAGCUCUGGUCCCCAAAAGGAUUAAAUCCAUCCGUACUCAAUGCGAACCUUAGGUUUCUUGCGUCCUCUGCAAAUUCCGGGAAUUCUCUAUCGAUUCCUCUCCACUGAGAACCAUCUGCAGGGUGUCUCAACAUGUUGUCCACCUUACAGUCUUCUUUGUGCCAUCGCAACAACUUUGCAUGCUCCUUAUUUCUGAACAAACGUUUUAAGCAUCGAAUUAUUGGAGCAUACCACAUAACCUUGGCAGGGAUUCUCUUCCUCAGACGUUCUUCAUCCUCAACAUCGCCAGGGUCAUCUCGCAAGAUCUUGUACCGUGACGCAUGGCAAACAGGGCAUUCAUCUAAUUUCUCGUGCUCGCCACGGUACAGGAUGCAGUCAUUAGGGCAUGCGUGUAUCUUCUCGAUUUGUAAUCCCAAAGGGCAGAUGAUCUUUUUUGCUUCGUAUGUAGUGGUGGGUAACUCAUUAGGCUUCGGAAGCAUCUUUUUUUUGGAACUUCAGUAAUUUUCCAAAUGCCUUGUCAAAAAUACCAUUCUCUGCCUUUCACUGUAACAACUCCAGUGUCGUUCCUAGCUUUUUCUGUCCCUCUUCGGCAAACAGGUAGAGUAGCUUCUUGUGAUCCUCUAGCAUUUGGUCAAAUUUAGCCUCCUCCUUUGCACUUUCGCAAUCUCUCUGUACGUCGCGAAUGACAUCACCAAGAGCAUCGUCAUCAUCAACGAUACUGUUUCCUGCAUCCCCGUCUUCAUCACCUUCGUCCUCUACUGCGAAGUCGCAGUAUUGAGCAAAAACAUCGUCAGGGUACGCUUGCUCUUCUUCACCUUCUUCCGUCAUAACCCCGGACUCUCCGUGUUUGGUCCAACAAAUAUAGUUUGGCAUGAAACCAUUUGUGAACAAGUGCAAGUGAAUUUCUCUUGAGUUUGAAAAUUCCUUCAAAUUCCUACAAACGGCACAUGGGCAGCACAUAAAACCAUCCCGCUUAUUUUGCUCCGCCACUCUGCGGAAUUCUUGCACGCCCUCAAUGAACUCGUUGGAGCGGCGAUCAGCAUUGUACAUCCAAUGGCGUGCCAUUAUCUGCAUUAUCAUGAAAUUGUAAUUUUUCUAUUAAAAGCUAUAAUUUUAUCAGUAAAGAAAAUUAAUUUCAAGAAUUUUUAAAGUGAAAAACAAUUUAUUUAACAAAUACAACAAAAAUUAUAUUAUUAAUAUUUUAAAAUAAGAACAUAAACAUAUUAAAGUAGAAAAUAUCCUAUAAUAUCUAUAAUAGAACUAAACAUGAUUCGUGUAUACAUAGUAGUAAUGAUUUGUGUAUACUAGUUUUUAGCGGGCACACACUUAGCAUCGUUCAAAAAAAUUCAAACAUGAGAAGAUGAUGAUUGGAGAGAUAGCAACAUGAAAUAAUUAACAUAGACAUAUGUCCAGUAUGAAAUUACAGAUGGCGGUGAAAAACAUAGGAGGAUGAAGCUAGUAACCUUUCAAACAAAUCGACGACGACGUAGGAGCGUUGAAAUGGAUCGAUCGUGGGAGAUGAGAGCACUAACAAGCAAGAACAAUGGAAGAACAAGCAAGAACAAAGCACCUCGAGCUCGGGCAGGGAGAGGAAGAAGGGAGGAGGGAGAUUCAAUUUAUAGCGGGGAGGGUUUAGUCCCGGUUGGUGUUACCAACCGGGAGUAAACACCUACCUUUAGCCCCGGUUAGUGCCAACGACCGGGACAAAAGCUUUAGUCCCGGUUAGUGUCACAAACUGGGGCUAAAGGUAGGUCUUUAGUCCCGGUUUGUAAUGCACACCGGGACUAAAGGUCCCUCUCCGACAGCGCCUGACACCAGAGCUGUUGGAGAGGGACCGUUAGUCCCGGUUGGCUUUACCAACCGGGACUAAAGAUCUCUUUUGUCCCGGGCGCCAAAAAUGUCGGGACUAAAGCUCAUUUGGCACAUCGACGAAAGGUCUGUUCUCUAGUAGUGAGGGUUUCCGGGCAUGUUAGGGUCCAUCGAUUGUAUGCAUUGGGAAUGGAAGAAUUGUCCAAUGGAAUCACAGGGCCAGUACAAGGGGCAUGAGAACAAGCCAACUAUAAUUUUAGAAGCUGUUGCAUCUUAUGACCUUUGGUGUUGGCAUGCAUUUUACGGGAUGCCUGGUUCUCAUAAUGAUAUCAAUGUUCUUCAUCGGUCUCCUCUAUUCGACAACCUGGCAGAAGGUAGAGCUCCAGAGGUGAACUAUACAAUUAAUGGCCAUGAGUACAAUAUGGGGUACUUCCUCGCAGAUGGUAUUUAUCCCCUAUGGGCGACUUUAGUCAAGACCAUCUCAGCUCCUAUGGGGAACAAGCAGAAGUAUUUUGCAACAGCACAAGAAGCAGCAAGGAAGGAUGUUGAAAGGUUUUUUAGCGUACUGCAGGCAAGGUUUCCUAUCAUUAGACAGCCAGGUCGCAUGUGGGACAGGGAGACACUUGCGUUGAUCAUGAGGGCUUGUAUUAUCAUGCACAAUAUGAUUGUUGAAGAUGAAAGAGUCGUCGACCCAGAUGUGCGGUUCCCGGAUGUUGCUGAAAAUGUGCGUCCUUCUCAUGGCACGUCUACUCGCACACUUGCUGAAUUUAUCGAGGCCCAUAAAAAGAUCAGAGACAAGCCAACACACUUUCAGUUGAAAGAAGACCUUAUCGAGCACCUAUGAAACCGUCAUCCUGAUUUAUACUUCACACAACCAGCAUUAUGAUUUAUAUACAAGCCAACUAUUAUUAUUUGUACUUCCAUCGAUUUCUUAGCAUUUGAACAAAUGUAUUAGCGUCUGUUUAUUUGAUUCUGAAUAGUGUAGUCCAGAAUGUAUUAUUUCAUUUUGAACAAAUGUAUUAGUCUGAAAACGUGCAUGGUCCUGUAGCAAUGCUCAACGUCCCUAUCAGGUAGCAAUGAUCAACGUCCAGGUAUCACAAGCAAAUUGGCAUAUCACAAGCAAAUUGACAUUUAUUUCAAUAACAAAUAAUAUAGCAAAUUGUCCACACUUUGAAUGAUUUCAAAUAAAGCACGUCCAGGUAUCACAAAAGCACGUCAAAAUAAAAUAUAAAGUGACAAGGGAAAUAAUGGUUCUGCAACUAAAGUCGGAAAAUUAAUAGCUUUGUUCAAACUGAAACUAAAACUAAAACUAAAGGUUGUAACGCGCAAGGAUCUUCUUCUUCAUUGCGUUGUGCCACUUGAGCUGAUCUUCGUCGAGUUUGCUCGUGUCUGCUAGCAUUAUGUCUUUUUCCUCCUUUAGCAAGUUUGCUUCAGCGACUUUUUCAUCAUUUUCCAGUCGUUUCUUCUCAAGCUCAAUUGCAGCUUCCUCCUUUGCCUUAUUUACUUCAGCGACUUUGGCUUCAUUUUCCAGUCGUUUCUUCUCAAGCUCAAUAGCAGCCUUCUCUAACUCAAGAAAUUCCUUCUCAACAUUCUUGUCAUCCUCUCUUGCCUUGUCUCUUUCCCUGUCACAUAUCUCCUUCGUUUCCAACAUCUUCUGCAAAACUGCAAGAGAGGCGUCGUCCCGCAUAGCUUGUUUUACCUGUUUCUGCCCCGGUGGCCUCUUACGCUCUUUAGAACCUAGGGUUGCAACCUCUACCACUUCAUCAUUGUUGCUCAAAGGGUCACUGCUCGGCGUAGACUCAUUGGUAGUCUUCUGUUUUUUGUUCUUCUGAUUUAGUUCAAUCCGCAAUGUCUUCCACUUGUCUUGAUCCUUCAGAAUGUGAUAACAAUGCAUAAGAGUGAACUUUUGCUGCUUGUUCUCGUCGUCUUCUCCCGUAUGUCUCCAAUGCUGCAUUAAUCUGCACAUGUAAAAAAAAUUUAAAUAUUUAUAAAUUCACAAUUGAACCAAAACUUGGAAUACAAAUGAAAGAACCAUACUACGAAAACUCACCAUGUCCUGGAUAGUCGAUCCACUAGCGUUCCUACGCUCAAUUUUCUCGUAGCAUGAACAAAACUUGUUCACCUCCCUCUGAAUAGUCCCCCACCUGUGCAUAAUAGAAGCCUCUGUCCUAUCAAUGGUAGAUGUCUUUUUGUCCUUGUGUUUGUUAAAGAAUGCACGAAUUCUACCCCAAAAUGUUGACCGAGGUUGAUUCGCACCGACAAUUGCAUCUUUGCUAACUUGCAACCAAGCUAAGCAUAUGACUUUGUCCUCCUCUAUGUCAAAUUUCUUUUGCCUAUGGGAGGCACCCUUUUUAGCACAACGCACACCAACAGAAGGAACUACAGCUAGCUGUGAUUGCAUAGGAUCAGCUUGAAAUUCAGAAGAAUCAUUAGUACCACUGAACUCAAUGUCCUGCGUCAGCGAAAAAUUCAAGUCCAAAUCCAGGCCCAAUGCAACAUCACUCGGAUCAGCAUCUGAUGUGAGUAUGCCGGUAUAGUAUCCAACGUCUUCCAUUACAAAGUAAUCUGCUAAUGGAAAGAACAACCCAUGUCACUAGAUGAAGAAAAAUUUAACAUAUCAAAAAAUUAACAUCUUCUUUACAUAGGCAUUCAGGUUUCUAUUCAACAUGAAAAAUAAAAACACAAUCGAUGCCACGCCAUCAAUAGAGACCACAAAUAUUGCAAAAAAUUUAACAUAUCAAAAAAAUAACAUCUUCUUUACAUAGGCAUUCAGGUUUCUACUCAACAUGAAAAAUAAAACACAAUCGAUGCCACACCAUCAAUAGAGACCACAAAAAUUGCAAAAAAUUUAACAUAUCAAAAAAUUAACAUCUACUGAUCGGCCAUAUCAAGGCAUCACAUCACAACCAUGUGUAGGCAAUAAACCCUAGCAGAAAUCCAUAGCUACGAUCACAACCAUAUGAAGACAAUAAACCCUAGCAGGAAACCUCGACCUUGCCUGCUGUAUGCGCGCCGUGGAGACCCCUGGAGCCGCGGCCACCUGGAGACGUCGGGCAGCCGCACGAAGCCAGAGUUGCCUGAAGCCGCGUCCGCUGCGUGCCUGAGGCCGCGUCCGCUGCGUGCCAGCAGCGCCGGCGAUACGACGAGUCGUCAGGCGAGAGAGAUCGCGUCCGCUGAUUGCGUCCACAGAUCACGCGAGAGAGAUAGAGGCCAGGGGGUCGCGGCGGCCACGGAGUCGGGCACGAGUCCGUGCGAUAUGUUCUCUGCGUGUGCGAGACGAGGACCGGGCGACCGAAUCAGCGCGGGAGGAGAUUUUGCCAAACUCAGAGUCCUCUGCAUAAAUGCCAAGUUGGGAGGAAGAUUUGCAAAGUUUGCACAAAUGCAAAACUCAUUUGCAAAACCAUUGGAGCCCUCUUUUUGUGGUUUUUUGCAAAUUAUCAAAUGCAAAACUGAUUUUGAGAGGCCCUUGGAGAUGCUCUAAGAUUAGUAUACUGUAUAGGCAACUAAAUGUACUCUGAUCAGGCAAUAUUAUGGCAAGGUCAAGGAAAAAUAAUACAAAUCAUUAGGCAAUUUUUGUAUGCAUUCCUGAUGAUUUUUCUUAUUGUGCAAUAACUAUUAUUAUUUUUCUUAGAUUUUCUAAUAAAAUGUGAAUAUGGAUAUUAUUCAUGUAAUGAUGCGGUUAUUCAUGAACAAGUGUUUAUUCUCAUUUGUGUAUUUCUGUACACUAGCUAUUAUCCCUACGCAGAUCAGUCUAUUUUUUGGCCGUGGCUGUGAUCUGUUUUCUUUUUUGUCUUUCCAUGCCUAGAUUACCAAGAAGUAAUUAGCAUAUCCUCCUCCAUUUUUAUUUUUUCACGGAUUGGAUUUCUAGAUAUUUUAUAGUAUAUAAAGUAUAUAGUGUCUCUGCUUAGAUUGCCAAGCUUGAUUGUCAGUGUUAUUGUAAGUAAGAGGCUUUUUCUGAAAUCUUAUAUGGAUUAUAUAGGAAGUAGUCCAAGUAAGAAGAUGCUUUUUUAGAACACAUAAAUCGCCCAUUUAAGAAGUCAUUUUUGCCUAAUGAAUGACACUUUUUUGCCUGAGAAAAUGCAAUCCACUACAACAUUACCAUUUUUGCUUUUCAUGACAUUCCUGCUUGUAGUUGUGUAUGCUUUUUUCUGAUUUUUUUCUGACUUUUUUAAAAUUUAUUUACAGACAAUGGGUAGAAGAAAGAGGGACACAAGUGAUGGUUGUACUAGCUGUUGACGGUCCUUAAGUAUCAAAUUUAAUUAUCAAAUAAACAAAGAAAAGGAUUGAAAUGAAAUCAACAUCUAGACUUAGGGUUUUAUCUGACAGAAUUCCACAAGUUUUGGUGUUUGUCUAUUUCUGCAGGGGGUUAUCAGGAAAUACGGAAGAAAGAUCCACACGUCGGGAUUACAUAGAGAUAUCAAUGUGCCGCACAAUUAUUUUACAUCUAGAAGACUCCAGAAGCCAUGGGAAGGAAGCGGAGGCCGAACGGAACCAGGACCUGGGCGCCCGCCCAAGUCCUUAGGGCGCCCGCCCUGCUACAGUGGCCAAUCACAUUCAACCUCGUGGAUUAUGCUCCACCGACCUAAAGGAUCAAGAAUAACCGUUCAAUCAAUGUCGGUUUGAUCCGACGGCCCAGGUUCACUUGAGGGGACUAUAUAACCAGACCCCCUGGCCCCUGGAGGAGGCACCCCUUGAUCAUUAUUCAUUAUUCAUAGACAGAGCAAAAGCUAGGGUUUAGAGAUGAGAGCUCUCCUCUCUUCUCUAAACUAGAGUAGAUCUAGAUAGUAGCAAGAUGGAGAGCGAAGGAGGAUUAGAGGAGAGGCCGGCCUGUCGGUUCUUCCUCCGGUUGUACUUCGUCAUGAUCAAGCUCUAAUCAAGCUUGCUCAUGGGAUGACUCUGGUAAUCUACUUCUAAUUCAUUAUGCAAUUACUAAUUAUGUAUGUUCUGGUUCACAACUCUUUUGAGUAUUCUAAUCUAUAGGACGCUAUAGGUGAGAGAGUUGUAGUAUAGGUGUAAGCGAGGUGCUUAGAUCUAGAUUACUUGUGGAUAUCCCCUGUCUAGCUGGAUCGUGUGGUAGGCCGCAUAGGUGACAGUUACGUUGGUCCUCUGUAGUCCACCUCUCGUUAGCAGGACGGGUAGGGUUUAUCGGCCUAAGGAUAAGCAUCCUUUGUGGUGUACUCUUAUCACGUGGUUCGUCCCAGACAUAGACAUACCCCUUUGAAGUAGAGAAACCAUAGUUAUCCUCUCUAUUCUGCUACCAUCGCCCAUAUACUAUAAUUGCUCUACUCUCUAUUCCCAUAUUAUCACUCACUGUUAUCUUACCUUUAAUAUUGUUCUUAUUCGAUUCUACCAUCUUUCCUAUUUACACUUAUUUACUUAUCUUGGUUAAGUUAGAGCGUAGAUCAGUUCUCCCGUUUCCGGGUAAAAGCUUCAACGGUAUCCGUGCGCUUGCGGAUUAUCUGUGUGCGUAUAAAUACCAUAGUACACUCUAGUGCCAUGCUGGGGAUGACAACCUAGUAUUCAAGUGGUGUUAGCAAGUGUCAACAAGCAUUUUUGGCGCCGUUGCCGGGGAAACGGUUGCUGAGUUGACUACGAACUAGCUUAAGCAUUUUCUAAAAAAAAUAAUAAAAAAAAAAUUCCUUUUAUCGUUUGCCUCAUCUCUGCUAAUCUUUCUUCUUAUCUAAUCCUUGAUCUCUGGUCUAUCAUGAAUUCAGACAUGUCUAUCUAUGAAUUUCAUAGACCUACGGGCACACAUCUCGAACCACCAAAAUCUUCAAAGCCUAUCAUAGCAUCUAGUUUUGAGAUAGACCCGGAAUACAUAGAAUUUGUUCAAAAACAAUCUUUCUCAGGAGAAGGUGAGGAAAACCCAUACACACACCUAAGAGAGUUUUAUCGAGUCUGUGACCUCCUUCGCAUAGAAGGCAUGUCUGAUGAGACCCUUAAAUGGAAGCUCUUUCCGUUCUCUUUAACGGGAAAAGCUAGACAUUGGUAUAAACUCAAAGUAGGGAGUGUUCAUGGAGAUUGGAAGGAGUUACAUAAUAGUUUUCUUUUAAAAUUUUUUCCAAUCUCUAAAGUGGCGGAACUUCGGCGUGAGAUUAUUUCUUUUAGACAACUGGAAGAAGAAUCUCUUGGUAAAUCAUGGGACCGCUUUAUUAACCUUACUCUCACUGGCCCAAAGCUUUCUAUUCCAGAAGAAGUUUUUCUAAUUCACUUUUUUGAGGGCCUUAGUAGGGAAGAUAAGCAAACCCUUCAUGCGGCCUCUGGAGGAUCUUUCCACCACCUAUCCGCUAGUGAAGCUUGGAAUUUGAUUGAUUUAAUGAGCGGAAAGUCUCCUAGCUUUUAUAUCCCUGAGAAAGAGACAGAACCAGUUCCUAGACAAGAAGAAGAAGUUUCGAUAGCCAGAUCACAACCACUUCAAUUCCAAACUUUAGCUAUCAAUCCUAAACCAUCAAUACCCCAAAAUUCUCCAAGGGAGGAAGGAAUUCCGACCUUAAAUCUUUCAGAUGCUGAUGGUUUAGACUUCUGGUUCCAUAAGAGACCUUCAAGCAGGGAUAAUUCAAAUCCUCGCAAUAAUGGUUCUCUUAGAGAAUGUCCUGGUUCCUGUUAUGAAGAAGUCGAGGAUGACAUAUCAAGUGAAGGAGAGCUAAGCCAUAUUGGAAAUUCUAACACCUCCCCUUUCCUGAUCACAAGUUCUAAAUGGCUAGAAUGUGUAGAAUGGAUGGAUAAGGAAGAAGCCUUAAUGGAUUCUAACUUUGGCUCAAUUUCAAAUGAUGAGUUCUUGACUCCCUUUGAAGAUGAGAUUCAUCCAACUACAGAAGAGGACAUAGGUGAGACCAAUCCAGGAGAAACUCCAAACAUUCAGAUUAGAGAUGAAGAUAACAUUAAUGAGCAUGGAAUUUAUUUCAUAGCCACUUCGUUUGCUCCAUGCUCAUAUGCAACAUCUUCCCAAUCUAUUGGUCUCUCCAACAUCACCACAUUUGAGAUCUCCAACCCCCUCUUCCUUUUUAUUUCUAAAAACUUUAAAAGGGCGGUUGUCGAUGCAUAUGUCUAUAAUAAAUAUUGCAGAUCUCGUUGAGUUGAUCUUGAUUUAGGUCAGCGUUGGAAGGGAAACCACUUCGCCGACAUAAAUUGAUGGUUUCCCAAGGACAAGCUUGGUGUCCUAAAAUAAGCACUGAUCAGAUCGUGACAUGAGUUUUUAAUUAUUUGCAACAUUACCUUGUGUGUUGAGCAUAUAAGGAUAAUUGUAAAAAUAUUCCUUCGGGUAUUCUUGUCACUAACCUUUCCAGGAUUGGAGCAAGAAGAUCGGAUGAAUGACAAGCAAGUACAAGGUAUGUCCAACCAAUCAUCAUGCAACACUGAAUUAAAUUCAUCCAAACUUGAAUUCUGCAGAAUUCAAGCUUGGGGGAGUACUUUACAUAAAAACAUCCUUUGCCAUGUUGCUAUGUUGGUUGUCCCUACAUUUAAGACAUGCUCAAUUUGUUAAAUACUAAUCACACUACUUCAUCUCCACUUGAGUAGAUCUCUAUAAAUGCUGUUAUGCUACCUUUGUCUAUUUACUAGUAAGUGUUAGUUUGGAUGUACUGCACAUACUUCUAUUGGCUUUUAAAUUAAGCAUGGUGCUUAGGUUAAAUAGCCUUCCUUAAUCUGAUCAGACAUGGAGUCUAGUUCGGUUAUUGAACUAAAAACUACUUGUGUAGACAUUGGUAUAUUUUUGUCGGACUAACCCCUGCAGAAAAACUUUCAAUAUCGAUUUGGGAAGUCCUGAGAUAAACUCACAUCAGAGACGAAGAGAGUGACACAUGAAGUUUAACAAUUUGCACAAGAAGGACAUAGCUCAUUCAUCAUAGAGAGAUGAUCCAUGGAGGGUGCCACAAACAUGAUGCACAACCGCUAAGAAAGGAAAGCUUCCACAAGGUGAUACUGUACCAUCACUCUUCAAGCAAGGUAACAUCUUAAGGUACUUAUCACUUUUAUAAGCUUCUCCUUGGUUAUGGCAUUCAUAUAAAUAAAAGAGACAAACAUGUAUGAUUUACAACUCUAGAUUAACCAACCCAACUGAUUCAACAUGUUUAGUCCUUUAAUCCUUGUUCUUAGUACUACCUCCAUGAUCCCACACUCCUAAUCAUAUGAGCUAAAAUGUUACACAUUCAAUCAUUGAGAGAUAUAAAGAAAAAGACAUAUACAUAGAUAGAUUAUCUUUCCAUAAGGUUGAGCGAUCUGAUCUGACAAAUGUUAUAAGUGCUACACUCAUGAACUUUUCAUCCAUCAACUUUGUCUUGCUCACUAUGUUUAGGGUUAGAGAAGAACAAAUACACUUUAGGUUCUGUUGGUGUUUUCCACCAACAGGACCCUGCACUUGAUCUCUGCCUUGUCUCUAUGAGCAGGUACACUUUGAGCAAAACACGGAGGAGUUUUAUAACUCUCAGACUCUACCAAGUGAAGGACCUGGAUCUACGAGCACAAACACACUGAGCAGGAUACUACCAACGCCGCACUUCGAACUGCUGGGCAAACAAAGAGGUGCAGACGUCAAGGUCCGUACCUGAAUCAAUUGACGCACCUGAAGAAUGAACACGGUGAGAAGUCUUGUUAAGAAGACUUAAAACAUUGAACCCUCGCCGGAAGGUAAGAUCGGUAGUUAUCCAUAUUUAUCCUUUCUGCAUUCCCUUUUCCCUUUAAUUAUUUACUUUCCUUAAAUAGAUUAUUAGUUAAUCAUGCUAUCUUGAAAAGAAAAUAAAAAUGUUAAAAAAUACUAAACCCCAUGUGAGUAUACGAGUGGCAUAAAACCCAUAAGUACCUUCACUGUGGUGGCAUAAAAAUAAAAUAAAUAUUUCUUUUCUGCUUUAUAAAAUAAAAAUAUAAAAACAGGGAGUAAUAUUUAUUGAGGAAGCUCAACAUGAUGAAGGCUAGAUAUUUAUGCUAACACUUAAUUAGUUCCACAAGCUUUGUUGUCUAUUUGAGCUCCACAGAAUUUAAGAAUCAAGAAGACUAGCAGACGGAGGACAUUCUAAUCGCUGUCAGAAUGCUGCUGACUUUCAAAUACACCUCUGCCACCUGCUAGCUACAUCAAGAGAAAUUACGUCAAAAUUCAGCUUGGGGGAGAGCACCCCCAUUUAUCUCGCUAAGUAUUUCUACCUAUCUUUAUACUUAUAUUAUAUUAGAAUAUUAAAAUACAUAAACUAUGAAAAACCAAAUAAAGAUUUUGUGCUUAUAUAUAUAUCUUUUGCUUAGUGUGUUUAAUAAAUAAAUAAAGUGGCUAUGCUAAUCUGAAUCUUAAUAAUAAAACUCUAGCAUGGAUAUGAUGAAUAGUUGCUCUGCCUAAUUUGCAAAUUUGAAGUUCUCUCUCAAGUUUAGACAUAACUGUUAUAAUUUAAAGCUUGCUCUAGAUCUAAACUUGUGGGAUGAAAACUUGAUCUGAAAUCUAAGUUGUUAACGAAUAUGAUAUGGGAAGGUUGAGCUGUUGUUUAUCUGUUCCUAGAGAUGCUAGAAUUCUGGAGAAUUUUAUCUUUGAAAAAUCUUUAAAAUAUUGCAUGAUGAGUUCGUGUAUGUUGAAAGUUUAAAUUCCUACCACAGCCAUAUAUACAUGCUUGCUAGACUUUGAGCCACACAUUUACUAUUUACUGCUUAUGAGCAUUGAGUGUGGUCAAGCUGUGUAGACCCUUAGGAGCUUGUCAUGUGGUUAAAUCAAGAUUUCACUUGCACAUUCACUCAUAUAUGCUACUUCUACUCCGGAAGUACCAUCCACAUAUAUACACCCAUGUCCAUCUCCAGAACCACCCAAAAAUAUUCUACUCCUAAUCCGGGAGAGAAUAGCCAAAAAUAUUUCUGUUUUCCCUUGUGAAAUAAAUGCUCAAGUUAUCUUGCUACUACCUCUUGCUAUAUCAUCUCAAGAGAUGAGUGCUCUGAAAAGAAAAAAAAUAAAAGAGAAGAAAAGAAAAAAAUAAUAAACGAGGAAAUAAAAAGGGGCAAGUGUCCGGAACCUCGAAAGAAAAAAAAGAGUGAGACGAGAGGUAAAAAUGGACAAGUGUCCGACAGUAGAAUUAGGGGUACAAGAUACCCACCUGAGAGGAAAGAAAAAAAUGAAAGAUAGAGCAUCUCAUUCUCCUCAUAAAGUUUCAAAAAGCAAGGAAGGUAUGUAUCCCCUCAAAAGAGCAAAAGUAGAAUUAGACUUUCACCAUGUUAUCACCAUCAUCACCAUACACCAUUCAUUCGCCACACAUGCACAUCUUGAUUUGGCUUAUUGAUUUGUUUCUUUGGAUCCAUAGUUUGACUAUACAAUAAAUGUCUUGUAAGUAUGUAUACUUUAUCUCCCACCUAUGAGCUCCAGAUAUUAAAGUUAUUAGAGUAGGGUGAGAGAGAAGGCAAUGUCACUAUGCCUUAUACCACAAAUACCACAUAUCUUGAGAGAAGGCAUAUACCAUCACUGCCUUGGUAAGGAUCCAGAAAUACCACAAAAGAGAGAUUUAGAGAGUCAUACAAGGAAUCUCUGAGUUUUAUUUGAAAAAUCUGCAAAAACUCCAGAGCUAUAGCUGAUCAAGAAUAAGAGACAUGGCACUUGGCUAGACUGUUCUAUCUUUUAACUACUCAAGACAGAAGUGACGGUUACAAGUCCCAUGGUGAAAGGUAAAGUAAGUAAGUUUUAGUUCUUGACAGUUUACUCUAACUCAGAGAUGAGAUCUUAUUUAAAAGCAUGUGUACCGUCAAAUUUUUAAGAUAUUGCAACAACUUCUGAUCCAUUGCUGAGUCUAUCCUUGCUCAGAGACGAGCAAGAGGUAAGCUUGGGGGAGUUUGUUGACGAUCCUUAAGUAUCAAAUUUAAUUAUCAAAUAAACAAAGAAAAGGAUUGAAAUGAAAUCAACAUCUAGACUUAGGGUUUUAUCUGACAGAAUUCCACGAGUUUUGGUGUUUGUCUAUUUCUGCAGGGGGUUAUCAGGAAAUACGGAAGAAAGGUCCACACGUCGGGAUUACAUAGUGAUAUCAAUGUGCCGCGCAAUUAUUUUACAUCUAGAAGACUCCAGAAGCCACGGGAAGGAAGCGGAGGCCGAACGGAACCAGGACCUGGGCGCCCGCCCAAGUCCUUAGGGCGCCCGCCCUGCUACAGUGGCCAAUCACAUUCAACCUCGUGGAUUAUGCUCCACCGACCUAAAGGAUCAAGAAUAACCGUUCAAUCAAUGUCGGUUUGAUCCGACGGCCCGGGUUCACUUGAGGGGACUAUAUAACCAGACCCCCUGGCCCCUGGAGGAGGCACCCCUUGAUCAUUAUUCAUUAUUCAUAGACAGAGCAAAAGCUAGGGUUUAGAGAUGAGAGCUCUCCUCUCUUCUCUAAACUAGAGUAGAUCUAGAUUGUAGCAAGAUGGAGAGCGAAGGAGGAUUAGAGGAGAGGCCGGCC
rnacentral:lncRNA from 1 species